rnacentral:lncRNA from 1 species
CUCCUCCUCCUUUACAAAGUAUGGGCUUUAGUGUGAGGCCCAAAUACAAGGCCCAAGGCCCAAAUAUACGAGGCCCUAAAUAUGGUAUAAACAGUAGUCCCCCAAGUCUUCAGUCAAGAGAGUCUUUUGGCUGGAGACUUGAAAUUCAGUCCAUGUGUGGGCCGAAGUAACUGAUGCUCGAUAUGAGGCGGUGCCCAAUCUGAAAUGAUGCUCAACUAGAAGUAGCACAUGCUGUGAGGCUGCUCGGCUCGUGGCUUAUGUUGCCUUGGUUAGCUCGACUUGCGGCGUUUAAAGGUGAGGGAGUCCCUUUUAUAGAAUAAGGGCUCGCUCCUCAAUACAUGAAUGAUGGGCUAGAGUUGAUGCUCUCUAAUGAUGGUGAGGGAGUCCCUUUUAUAGAAUAAGGGUUCACUCCUCAGUACAUGAAUAAUGGGUGCUCUCUAAUGAAAGUGAGGGAUUCCUUUUUAUAGAAUAAGGGCUCACUCCUCAAUACAUAAGUGAUGGGCUAGAGUCCCCCAAAUAUUUUUCAUGAGGCCCAGUUGAGGCCCAAUAUAUGGUACAUAAUGUAGUCCCCCAAGUCUUCGGUCAAUAGAGUCUGUUGGCUGGAGACUUCAAAUUGAAUCCAUGUAUGGGCCGAAGUGGCGGUUGUUCGGAGGCGGUCUUUGUAGACCAUGCACUGAAGCUUUGUAAGUGAAGCUUUGCAAGUGAAGCUUUGCAAGUGAAGCUUUGAAGCUAUAGCUCUGUAAAUGAAGUCUUUGAAGCUAGAGCUCUGUAAAUGAAGCUUUUGAAGCUAGAGCUUCUUGUAAAUGAAGCUUUUGAAGCUAGAGCUCUUGUAAAUGAAGUCUUUGAAGCUAGAGCUCUGUAAAUGAAGUCUUUGAAGCUGAUUGACAUGAGUGAUGCUCAUGAAUGUUUAUGUUGAUUGACAUGAGUGAUGCUCAUGGAUGUUGUCAUGAGUGAUGCUCAUGAAUGUUGACAUGAAUGAUGGUCAUGAAUGUUUAUGUAUGAUUAUCAUGAGUGAUGCUCAUGAAUGUCUAUGUAUGAAUGACAUGAGUAAUGCUCAUGUAUAAUUUGGAGUACUUGGCGUACUUUUGAUCGCCUGGUUGGAGCUAUUUUGGGCUUAUGGGUUUUCGCCCUCUACACAACAUUCCAGCCCAUUUACUUUGGGCUUUGCCCCUUUUUUUUUUCUUUUUUACCCUCUGAUGGGGUUUAUACAGAUGUCAUUUCUCACUUGUUAUGACUGAUACAAGAUUAAUCCCUUUCCCACUUGCAAAUUUGAAUGCUGCUUCCUCCGUGAGAAUCUUCAAAAGUGCAUAAACCCAUCCACUUGCUUUUCUUGUUUUUGUUUCUUUUUUUUUUCUUUUCACUUUUGCUUUGCACUGUGUCUGUCUUUUACUUUCUUCUUUUUCGACAAGAUGAUGGACGGAAAUGAAGCUUUUGAAGGAUGACCCCUGCUUCGAGUGGUGUCCCCGUGCUUUUGCAUGUUUAUUCCUUGCUUUUCUUUCUUCUUUUCUCUUUUCCUUUUUUCUUUUGCUUUCUCAGAAAAUGAAGAUGCAUGAGAUGGGUCAUUGAUCUCAUCCAGCAGGUUGUCUGCAGCAUACAGAGCAUUUUUUAUUUGAAAAACCUGUCGCUGUGGAUGUCAUUCUUUUGAGAAAGCAAGCACUCGAGAAUGCAUUCCUUGCAAAAGACGUGGCCUUUCUGGCAGCGCAUGGGGUCGAUGAAGGGUUUGAGGCAGAGGCAGCAGGCGUCGAAGGGCUUGAUGGAGUCUCUGUCGAGCCAUUCCCUCUGGGUUCCAUAGCUGAGCUUCUUCUUCUCGUCGUAGGUGAAGAAAGCGAGGUCGUUGUUGUUCUUCGAGUGCUUCUGCGACAUCUUUUCGAAUUGAAUUAAAAUCUACUCUUCUGAUCGUGGAUUUUAAUUUUUCGAAUUUUUGAUUAGGGAGAAGUCAUCCGUAGCUGCUUUUGCUCUGAGCUGGAGAAAUGCUCUACUACUGAGUCAACCCGCUCACCGAGUCAUCCUUCACUGUUUCCUCAGACAGCAAUUCACUGUCGACAGAAAAAUUCACUCGACAACGGGUCCGCCGAAUCACGACAGAUCUUAUUGAAUUGGGCCACUGAUCUGCUCGCUGAGUUCAGCUAUUGCUUGUGGUUAAUUAGAAUUUGAACUCGUGAUUUCAGUGAAAUGGAUCGGCAGGCGAUGACGGUUGGGCUGGCCAUGGAUACAUCGAUCAUGCACGAUAGCGACCGGUAUGAUUUCGUCCGAGAUAUUGGGUCUGGAAACUUUCAAGGUCACCAGGCUGAUGCGGACAGGCAGACUAGGGAACUCGUCGCCGUCAAGUACGUGGCAAUAAAAUUGAUGAAAAUGUUCGAAGAGAGAUAAUAAAUCAUAGGUCUUUGAGGCACCUGAACAUCAUCAGAUUCAAGGAGGUUAUUCUUACUCCUACCCAUCUGACCAUUGUGAUGGAAUAUGCUUCUGAAGGAGAUGGCAGACGGCGGCGCUGGUAUGCGCGUCUGUGCAUGAGGAGAGGGUUUGGGCGAUGCAUCCUCGUCGCCGAAGUCUGCCAUGGGAAUGAGAAGCUCGCGAUCUCACGGUUCUCUGUCUCUGCUCGCCAUUACAAUCGAUGAUGACGACUUCUCAUCGCCCAUCACCAGCAGACCCCUAAUUGAUAUACGACGCCGUUCCAACGCCGCAACGCGGGGCCUUUUUUUUUGUCGAAUAAUUUUGGCACCGACGAGUAGAGAUCGGAGCUCAGCUUCCUCUCUUCGGAUGACUUGGGUGCCUCCUGCAAGCCCGAGCCAGCCGAAGAACAUCGGGUCCUGAAGGGGCUGGUGCUACUGAUGGGUGCACCCUUGUCGGGUUUGGGAUCGGGAAGAGGAAGACGACAGCGGAUCUUAUGCGGUGGACGAGAGAGGGAGUGGGAGUGAGUGAGAUCAUAAUCUGGAAUUUGGAUCUGGAAUCGUUUGUUUCUCUUUGUUUUGGGUUUUUGUGAUUUUGCAGAUUCACGGUGGAGGUGAAAAAUGAAAAAGAACCGACACAACUUUUCGUAUCGAUUCCCACAGACGGCGCCAAAUGUUGAUGCACAAAACCGGAUGUCUUGGAACAACGUAAAUCCGACCGUGAAUCUGCAAGUAAUGUAAAUGACACAAGAGUUAUCGUGGUUCACCCCAAGGUUUGGGCUACGUCCACACUGAAUAUGUAUUUAUCUGAGAGUAUUUGUGAGAGAAGGAACUCUGUGAGUGAAGAGCUUUGAGAGGGGAUGAGAAGGCUCCAGAAAUUGGCCUCCGAGAGUGAGAGUGAGCUCCCCUUAGAAUGAGGGUAGGAGUCCCCUUUUAUAGAAUAAGGGGCUCCUCCUCCUUUACAAAGUAUGGGCUUUAGUGUGAGGCCCAAAUACAAGGCCCAAGGCCCAAAUAUACGAGGCCCUAAAUAUGGUAUAAACAAAACUCACUCCCACUGAUGGAGCUUUGUUAGAUGAUCCCACCAAGUACAGAAGACUAGUCGGACGAUUGAUUUAUCUUACUGUCACCAGGCCUGACAUAGUCUUUUCAGUUCGCACAUUGAGUCAAUUUAUGCAUGAGCCCCACAAACCUCAUUGGGAUGCAGCUUUACGAAUUCUCAGGUAUAUCAAAGGCACUCCUAGUCAAGGCUUGUUAUUCUCUGCCUCUGAUAAUCUUGAGUUAAAGGCUUUUUGUGAUUCUGACUGGGGAGGUUGUCGUGCAACUAGAAGGUCAGUUACAGGGUAUUGUGUUUUUCUUGGAAAUUCUCUCAUCUCAUGGAAGUCCAAGAAACAAGACAAUGUUUCCAGAUCGUCUGCAAAAGCUGAAUAUCGGGCUAUGGCGAACACAUGUUUAGAAUUAACUUGGUUGCGCUAUAUAUUGCAAGAUUUGCAGGUUCCGCAAAAGGCUCCCAUACCAUUAUUUUGCGACAAUCAAGCCGCCCUGUAUAUUGCAGCUAAUCCCGUUUUUCAUGAGCGGACAAAGCAUAUUGAAAUUGAUUGUUACAUUGUUCGAGAAAAACUGCAAGCUGGAAUGAUUAGUCCUUCACAUAUUCCCACACGUUUCCAGUUAGCAGAUUUAUUUACUAAGGCCUUGGGGAAAGAUCACUUUGAGACAUUACGCAACAAGUUGGGACUUCAUAACAUUCACUCUCCAACUUGAGGGGGAGUAUUAGGAAAUAUUAUACGAUAUUAUAUGUAAAUAUCUUGUAUUAUAUUUACCUAAAUAGGUUUGAGUCAAAUCUCACCAAAUAUGGGUUAUUGUUCCCUAGCCUUUAAUGUAGGGUUGAAUAGUUGACUUGUUAUGUAUAUAUUGUACAACAAUGUAAUAAACGAAGCAUUCAAUCUGCCAUUCUCAUAGCAUUUUUAGUGUUCAGUCAUUUCAACAAUGGAUUGGAAGCCAUGGAUAUUUGUGAGAGUUUGUUUGGGUACUGGCCUUGCCUUGCUCGUGAUUUCAAGAGAGGCAAUGGAAAUGGUGAUUCUUGCUAUGAAUUUGGUAGUGAUGAAGGAAGAUAUGGAAAUACAUUGAAAUGAACUGCAGAUUGUCUUUUCGGAAGCUCAAAUUCGUAUGGUGAAAUAAGGGAUGAUGGAAACAACUAUUUACAGUAGGCAGGGUUGAGCAUGAGGAGGAUUUACUGAUGGGUAAAUUGAAGAUGUUUUGGAGAUUGUAAGAUAUCUGGCUUGUGGUUGUCCACAACUUUUUCAAGUCAGAGGCUUUGAUUGUGACUUUGUACGAAUGAAUAAUUAUGUUGGACAAAACCUUCUUAAUCAAUACUUGGUAUAAAUUGUUCAAAAAAAAAAAAAAAACUUGGUAUAAAUUGUUGUUAUAAGGAGACGGAUAUACUGUGCUAACUAAUUUAUCUAAACCUAAUUGGAAGCGAUGAACACAUUACCUUGACCAACUAAUCUAACCCACAUGCUAUUGAUUGCCUUUUGUUAAGGCGAUAACACAGCAGGUGGCAUCAGUGGACAAAUUAACUUAUGAAAGGACAAUUGGCAUGAAUCAAAAUCAUCGAAAGAAGGCUUGUCUGCCUCAUGAAGGCACAACGAUAAAGUUCUUUAAGAAAGCAAACCUUAGAUUUGAUGGUUAAUAGACUUGAUUAUGCUGCCUGAUGCAUCAACAAAAUCAUCUUCCUUAAAUAUUUGACAAGAAUAAUGAAGUUUAUCUGUUUAUGUACGGAAAUAUCAUUUUAAUACACCCAUUUUCACUGAUUUAUUUAAGAAAACGAACUUGAACAUUAGGGAAAAUGCUGAUUGAGUAGGGGUUAAUCCUAAACGGAUAAAGUUAUACAGUCCUGAUAUAUAAUAUAUAAAUCCAACAAAACGAAUAGCAUCACUGACUGUACAAGUAGGAAAAGUGUCAGGAUGUUUUCUGCUCUAAGCAAAACUUUUGUAUUUAUCAAUACCCUUCGGCAUUCUGAACUGAAGCAAUUACCCUUCUCAUUCAGUUCCAAUACACAACUAAGGUGCUUCGCUUAAUCAAAAUACCUAGAAAUCGAUCACUGGUUUCAUUUGAGUACCUCUCCUGGCACAUACUGGCCCGGGGCGGACCACUUUCCGGGCCCGUUCCACCACUGUAGCACUAUAUUGUCCGCUUUGGGCUUACCAUUCCCUCAUGGUUUUGUUUUUGGGAACUCACGAGCAACUUCCUAGUGGGUCACCCAUCAUGAGAUUGCUCUCGCGCGCUACUCGCUUAACUUUGGAGUUCCGAUGGAACCUGAAGCCAGUGAGCUCCUAAAAGGCCUCGUGCUAGGUCGAGAUGAGAAUAUACAUUUAAGGAUCACUUCCCUGGGCGAUGUGGGAUCUUACAAUCCACCCCCUUUUGGGAACUCACGAACAACUUCCCAGUGGGUCACCCAUCAUAAGAUUGCUCUCGCGCGCUACUCGCUUAACUUUGGAGUUCCGAUGGAACCCGAAGCCAGUGAGCUCCCAAAAGGUCUCGUGCUAGGUAGGGAUGAGAAUAUACAUUUAAGGAUCACUCCCCUGAACAAUGUGGGAUCUUACAUCUCUAGGGUAGACGGUAGACCUCCAGUAUUUUUUUGGUCAACACUAACUUGAAAAAUCAAAUACUUUAAAAAAAACAAAAAUAAAAAAAAACCAAAAAUCUCAAUCGUUCUCAUAAAUGAAAUAAAAAAUAAAUUUAAGAAAGAGGAGAGAGAAAGAGGCGAGAAAAAAAUGAGAAGAUAACAACUCACAUAUAUGAGUAAAUUGUAAAUGCAAAGAUAAUUAAAAAAACAACUAUGACAUCACUUGUCACGUGGAUAAAUUUUGUUUCUUUAUGAAAUAAAUAAAAAAACUACGUCUCUCUUCUAAAUAUGGACUUGGAUCCUCUCCUGAGCUAUUGCCAACGGAGCCUAGGGAUCCAUUAAUCACAGCCUUUCAAACUUGAUCCUACGGAUAAACUUCCUUAGCCCACUAAAUUAUUUCGAGGACUACGUGAGGUCGCCGUCGAACAGAGGGACGUUGGACUUGCCCGCGAAUAGAGGGGUUGGGGUAGUUGAGGUCGCUGGAGGAGAGAUGGGUGGAGUUGGGGGACUAGGUGGCGUCGCCAUCAAAGAGACGGUUGACGUUGGACUCGUCGGUGAACAAAGUGGUUUGGGUAGUUGAGGUCAUCAAAGAAGAGAUGGGUGGAGUUGGGGUUGCUAGGGAUGGAAGGUAUUGGGAUGAGCUCGCCGAUGAAGAGAAGGUUUGGGGAUGGGCUCGCCUGAGAAGAGAGGGAUUGGGGUGGGUUCAUCGGAGAACUGAGGGAUUUAGGGAGAAGAGAGGUCGAAAUUUUUGAAGGAAGGAAGUUUCUUGGCUGUAGGAUUGAUUUGAAGGGCUGUAAUUAAUGGAUCCCUAGGCUCCGUUGGCAAUAGCUCAAGAGAGGAUCCAAGUCCCUAAAUAUUGUCUUGUAAUUUGACUCUAUGUGUAAUUAUUUUUAAAUAAAAUGUACUCUUUUUUCCAACUUAUAUAUUAAUAUCUUCUCAUGUUGGCUUUCCCCAAAACGAAACCUUAAAUAAAACCCUCCUUGAAACCUCAGACAUUCAGCUUUUGUCUGUCCUUCACAAAAUGUCUCUGACACCAAUAUCUUUGCUCACUCUCUGUAUCCUUCUCCUUCUCCUUCUUCCUCCCACCGCCACCCUAACCCUCCACAACCUCCUCCAAAGCCAAGGCCUCCCUGCCGGGCUCUUCCCGGACAAUGUGAAGUCCUACAAUCUCGACCAGAUGGGCCACCUGGAGGUGCAUCUGGACCGUUCUUGCAUGACCAAGUUCGAGACAAGAGUUUACUUUGAGAGCAUAGUCAGAGCUAAUCUCAGCUAUGGCGUGCUCAGAGGCUUGAAGGGUUUGACUCAGGAGGAGCUUUUUCUUUGGCUGCCGGUGAAGGGAAUCUCAGUGAGCGAUCCGUCUUCUGGGUUGAUUUUGUUUGACAUUGGUGUUGCCCAUAAGCAGCUUUCUCUCUCUCUAUUUGAAGAGCCCCCUGUCUGCAAGCCUCAAUCUCAAGGUACUAAAAAAAUCCCAUCUUUUUAUUCUCUUUUUCUCUCUACAAAUUCAGUAGACUUGUACUAAUCUUUGAAAUGAAAUGUAAAUUUGGGAAUUUUUAUUCUCCACAAUUAAAUUCCAAUUGUCUAUUUGAGCCUUGGGCAAUGGAAAGAUUGUUCCUCUGUGAUCUCGAGUUGUGAGAAUAGUCUCUUUACAAAACAAGAGUAAGGCUGAGUCCGAUAGACGUUUCUCCCGACCUUUGCAAAGUAGGGAGCUUUGUUAAUUUGGGGUCGCGCCUUUUGUCUAUUUGAUAUUUGAUCCAAUGUAUUAGUGAAAAGAAGUGAGUUGCGCACGCCUUUUUCUCCAAUGUACAUCCUGGAUUUUAUGUGGCGUUUGAAUAAAUCUUAAAGGGAGCGCUGGAUGAGAAAAUGGUUGUGUGAAAAUCGUUGCAUUAUUGCAAUUUUUAGCAUUAAGGGUUGGUAAAAUUGAUAUUAGAAUCAUGGAAUGCAGGCAUUUCAUUGAAGAGUGAAGGAGGAAGGAAGAUUGGAUUUUAGGCCCAGAGAUGAAGAUUUGAUCUUUUGUCACUUGGAUAAUUUUUCUCCUUUUUUGGCUUUUGGGUAUUUUUCUCUCUUAAUUUUGAGCAAAAAGAUUGAAUGUUCAUAGAAACUUGUUAGGAUUGUAAAAACAAAGGAAAGCAAAAGUGAGUGUAAGAUUUUGAAUCAAUUGGUGCAAUUUUGGAAGUUUGUGUUAAAAAUACAACACCAGCCCAAUAAUUAAGGGCCAGCCCAUUUGGAAUCAUGAAUGAAAGCAUGAUUUUGCUAGAAAGUUCUAGCAUGUCGGUGGGCAUGCAUAAUAAGCUAGAUAAUUCUAGCAAGUUGUAAUAUUAUAUGGCUAUUAGCCAUAUGUUGGUGGGUGUGUGUGCGCGCGCAUAAUUAGUUGCUAGAAUAAUCUAGCAAAUGUCCAAGUCGGCAAGCAUUGCCUAUAAAUAUGUAUGCAUGUGUGUGUUGCUAGGUAACCAACAAGAAAUCAAGUAGUCGUAGUAGUAGGCAACCAAGUGAGAGUGAGAAGCAAGAAUAGUCUUGUAGGAGUGUGAGUGAUCUAGAAUGUGUUUCUAAAAAAUGAGUGAGUGUCAUUGCUUCUAAAGUUGUGUCAUUAUGACUGUUGUAAUAUUUUGUGUGUGUAAUACAAGUAAUUUGUUUAUUUGUGUUGUCUCUCCAACACUUGUGUUAGAGUUGUGUACUCUAGGUUUUUUUCACAACAGUUUGCACAAUUGGAAAUGUUCGGGUUUUAUAUAUUUUUGUCUUAAGUCCUCACAAUGCAAGGAGCUUUGUUGGCUUGGUUCGCCCUUUAGCUGCUUGGUUCCUAUCCCUAAGCCUGCAAUAUUGGAAUAUUGGUUAGCUGUCUUGUGGCUUUUUCUUGUUUGUGAUUUUUGUUCAUUGACACGUUUGUGGGAUGGUGCAGCCCCUUUUGUUCUUUUAUGUUGCCAAGCUAGCCAAACAAUUUUCCAUUUCUUUAAUCAAAUACCUUUAUUUAGAUUAAACUAGAAUAUCGCUUGGAUAAAACAUGAUUGUAAUAACGUUGUGGAUUGCCAUAUGCCAGGUGAAAUUAACAAGAAAUCAAAACAGAAAACUCUGUUAGUUUUUUUUCAAGUUGUUUGUGUUGUGUUGUGUUCUAAUUGAAUAUGAUUGUAUGAUCUGAUCCUUCCCUUUUGCUCUAUAUGCCAUUGAUGAUCUCCAGCAUCAAUUCCCGGGUUUGCUCAACUUCGAGCUUAUCACAGCAGAAUCCCUGAAAUUCAUUAGAAUUUAUAUUAACUUCUGGUGCUGGUAGAAUUUCAGAGCUUUCUUUGUUUUUACCGUGACUUACCGUUAUACAGGAUGAAACCAUCAUUACUCCGUUGGAGGUAGUGACGCUGGUGUCGGUGAGUUCGAAGCCAAAGCCGGUCAUGGCUUCCAUCAAUUUUGUGAACCCGCCUCGUUUCUUCUCGAGGACUGUCUUCACCCAAAGUUUGUUCCCAUCAAUCUUAGUCACAUUCACCUCUGUCUGCACAUUCCAGCAACAACAUUGAAAUAUAUGAGCAGAAAAAAAACUCCUAUAUUGUUUCAAAGAGAUUGAAUGUGAUGAGUUGUUAGCUGGUUGUCAAAACCUGAAUCCCGAAUUUCUUCAUCUCUUCAGCAGCAUGAGUUUCUUCUUUGUUCGGCUGCAGUGUUUCUUCUGAUGAUUCUUCCAUCUCAAAAAGCUGGUCUUUGAGGAAGUUUACUUUCUGCUGCAGCUCCUGGAUGUACGUGAUGGCAUCCUCAACAAUGGUUGCUUUGUUCAUCUGAAACACGAAAAACCAUAGUUGAGAUACUCAUGUUAAUAAUGGAAACUGGAAAAAUUUAAUGGAGGCAAGGGCUUUGAGGACUUGCAUUUGUGAUAUUCGGGACCAAUGCGCGUAGUGCAAGGAGCCUUCCACUGAGCUUCUCCCUUCUCUUCCUCUCAGCAACGAGAUUUUUGGAUUUGAAUUCGCCGCCAUUGUUGUGUCUCCUUCGACCCAUCCGUCCCCCUCGGCUGCCUCCUUCUGCUAAGCAUAAUUCAUCCAACACACAACUCACAGAGUCCAUAUUUCUUGAUAUAUUUUGAUCAAAGUUAGUUUAAACAAGUGGGAGGGAGUAGUUUCUGUUAUGAAAUUAUAUAGAUGGUCCUCACAAGGGUAUCGAAUUAUAUGUUUACUGAAAUAAUCUUGAUCGUUAAAUUUAAUCGAUGGAUGAGAUUAAAGGGAGGGAGAAGCAGCUUCAACAGCCAUGCAUAUAUGUGUGUGUUUUGCUUUUCGAAAGUGAUUUUUACCUUCUCAUUUUCUCUUUCUACGCUGUCUUUUUAUUUUUUAUUUUUUUCCGACUCCCGAUUUCAAAAAACAAGUAGAAGUAGAUGGGGAGGAAAAUGGUAUGCAAAAAUCACCACGGUUGUUUUUGUGUUUGAAUAUAUUCAUGUCAUACAUGUUGGUCUUGUUGACUGGAAAAAAGUACAUAAAGGAAUUUUGUAUGUUUGUUUUUUUUUUUUUUUUUGGGUACAAUGAAGGAUUUUUAUCAUAAAUGAUCCCUGAAAUUGACCUACUCAAUCAAGAUGAUUCAUGAAAUUGAAAAUCAAUCAAUGUAGUCCUUGAAAAUGAUUGUUGUAAAUCAUUGUGGUCCUUCCGUCAUAAUUCUGUUAAAUUUCUGUUAAGUUCUGAUAUGGCAUAUAAAUGUGUUCCAUAAAUUUAAUAAAAUAUUAUUAUGUGAAUAAAAACUAUUUAAAUAAUAAAAAUAAUUGUUAUUUUUUAUAAUUAAAAUAUUAAAAAAAGGAGGAGGAGAUGAUCGCCGCACCCACCAUUUCUGUUACUCCUUCACUCUCUUCGUUUUCUCAUAAAUUAACCCAGCAACAAACCCCACCAUAAACCCAGCAAGAAUACCGAAUACCAAACCCCCACCAUGAAAAGCGGCGACCAAUGCUCCCAUUCCAGUUGUACGCCGCCGUUUUGUUGGUCUCCAGUAUCUCCCUCCUCUUCCCCCCUUCUGCAUCGGGACUCGCUCAUUCCCGACGAGAGCGAUCGAUGGCGGUGAUGCCUUCGAAAUCGGCUCCGCCGCCUGGGCCCGAUUCUCCGAAGCCCCCGACUACCGAAACGGUGCCGAAUGCGCCGUUUCGUUGAACCGGGAAAUGGUGUCCUCCUACGACCCGUCGCUGGUCCACAUCGCCAUGAUUCUCGACUCCGAGUACCUCCGGGGGUCGGUAGCUGCCGUGCACUCCGUCAAAAAGAGGGGGAAAAGCAAAAGAAAAAAAGAGAAAAUCUUCACUCUUUUUUCUGUGUUCGAAUGAUGAGGGUGAUAAAUUGAUAUUAUGAGAGAGAGAGAGAGAGAGAGAGAGAGAGAGAGAGAGAGAGAGAGUGGAGGUGGAGGAUUCACUGGUGGCGAUGGAGACAUGACGCAAAGCCUUUGAAAAAACCUCAAUGAGCUUUAAAAUCUGGUGACUGAGAGCGAUGUGAUCCUUUUCUGAAUUGUGGAUUUAUGAGUUUGCUGUGACUUUCAUAUGGGGAACUGGAUUUUCUCCUUCCAAUUUCAUCAUUUCUGUGAAUAGGAGGAGAAGAAGAUGAACAGUGUUCAAUCAUCUCCUUCUUCUUUUUUAUUAAAAUUUUAAUUAUAAAAAAUAACAAUUGUUUUCUAUUAUUUAAAUAUUUUUUAUUUGCAUAAUAAUAUUUAAUUAAAUUUAUAGGAUCCAUUUAUGUGUCACAUCAGCACUUAAUAAAAAUUUUAACAGAAUUAUAACGGAAUGACCACAUUGAUUUGCAACAAUCAUUUUCAGAAACUACAUUGAUCGAUUUUUAAUUUCAGGAACUAUCUUGAUUUGGUGAGUCAAUUUCAGCGACCAUUUGUGAUAAACCCGUACAAAUAAUGAAGGUUUGUUAGGGCAGACUAUAUUCCUUUCUUGUAGACCGUAGAGUAUACUUAUUUUGUAAGGCCAUUUAAUAAAUACCUUCAUGGUAUUCGUACCAUAAUAGAAAUAUCUCCAAAUGUUUUUCGUAAUGAUCACACAAGAAAUAUGCAUUGUAUGUAAAAUGCUCAGUUUAAUAAAUCUCGUGUUGUAACCAAUCACGUGACAUGACAAAACAAUUAGUAGAUAAUUGGAGUAAUUUCUGAACAUAUGGCCACUAAAAGUGUGCGAUAGUUUUGGAGAGAAUCUCUCCAUAAAACUACUAAAUGUUGCGGCCACAAGAUAUUUGCCCCAAAUUCAUGAGGACAAGCUAAUGAUCCAGCCGGUUGAUUGUGUUGAGAGUAUGAACUUGAUAUCAAGGAAUUGAAGUCUCACUUAAUAUGUACAUAGUUGAAAUAAUCUUGUAUCUUUUCAUCCAGUCAAUCGAUUUUUAGUUGUAGUCAAAUUUUAAGUGACAUAAAAGUUCAGUGUUGGUAAUAACAAGUUUAGUAAAAAAUCUCGGCCAUUCAACAACUAGGAUAUUUUCUUUAGGGAGAAAAGAACUAGGAUAUUUUGUUUCCUUAGAAAAUAAAAUACUACAAGAGCAUCAAACUAAGAUUUCUUAUUUUUUACAUUCUCUCUUGUGGUAGCAAUUCAUAUGCCUUGCACUUAUGUUCUAAUUGUUUAUUUCUUGUUUUUACUCUAUACUUCCAUAAGAUAAUAUACUAUGGUAUUUUUAUUUGGACCCACUGCACGUAUGAAAUCGGAAUCAAAUCAACUUCAUGCAUGAAGCAUCGAUUCCACGUACUCGUCAAGAGAUGGAAGGCGCUGGUUGUCGUCGUAACUAUACAUCAGUGGCACCAUUCUUGUAAGAUUUAGGGAAGCCUUUGUGAAUGCUGCUGGAAAUGGAUUAGGAGACACCAAUACUUUGUUCAGCUUCUUCCAUUCUUGUGAAAUCAUAUUCGUAACAUGUUCUUGUGCUUCCUCCAUGGUUUUGCCUUGAUGUUCAUUUAAAUAGUAGUUUAUGUAUGACCCGUCGUCUCCAUCUUGAUUCUCAUCCUACGAUCAGUAUCACAAUAAGAAAAUCUGACGUGCUCUAUAUGCAUACAUGCAUGCUACAAAUUUUGAUGGACAAAUAUUUGUGCGAUGGAGCCGGCUAAGACAUCCGCCACACAUAAUAUAGAACCUUAGAUGCAGGGAUGAAUAUGAAUUUAGUUACUAUGGUGCUUGAUAUAAAUGGUACUAUAAAUAUGUAGUUACCUUGGCACUUCCCAAGUCGUCCCAAAGCCGAAGAAUUGCUGCUGUUGAAGAUAUAAUGGCUGGAGUGCCAUUCAAGAGCUCCACACUUUGUUUGGUUAUACCUUCACCCAAGAGAAAGAAAAUGUGGACCAACAUCACAUUCACCCCAGAAGAAAUAAUUCCAUUCUUCAAGUACUCUUCAGCCCUAGGCAAGUGCCCGGAUUUGAACCAUUUUGCUUCCACUAAAAAUGCAUUGCACAGACUCGCCCACUGCAUGCAUGCAUGCAAAUAGAAUGAAUAAUCUUUUAAUUAAGCCUUUCUUAAUUAUGCUAGUACUUAAUUGUCCCGACACUAAACUAGUUAGAUAAAUACACUUAAUAAUAAGCCAAUACUAUGGUUUGUAUAUAUACCGUCUUCUUUAGGGAAUGCAACGGGUUCCAUCCGUGCUUUUCAUAAACCUUACAGCUGAUUUCAUCCGUCAUGUCAUAAAGAGCUUUGAAGCAUAUCUUCAUGUAGUCCGGUAAAUGUUCUAUAGCACCAAUUUCCCAUCUGCAGCAUUACAAUUUACUGGUCAGUUAAUUGUAAAAAUUGGUGAAGUUAAUUAAAGUUACAGGACGCUCUAUUUGUUAUUACCUAUUAACAACCUCCGUGAAGAGUGUGAGAUCAUCAAGCGUCCCAUAAACGUCAAAAAUGUCAUCAAUCAAAUAGAUAAAUGAUACAGAUUUUGUGAACUCAAUCCUCUCAUCUGACAAGUUUGGGUUUGUUAGGCCUGCCAUGGACCAAUUGUACCAUUUAAUAGGUUGGUCUCUUGCAAACUUCAACUCCUUAGACAAUCCCAGCUCUUCCCACCAUCUAAUUAAGUUAAUUGAAACAAAUAAAUUAACAUUGAUUAAUAAUUGGUUAAUGAAUUAAAUGUAGAGACAACAAUUAAAGAUUAGGGUGGUAUUUUCCAAUAAAGUUAUUGACUUACUUGGAAACUUGAACAACUUCCUUCUGGUGAAGGGACUGGACCAUAUAUAAAUCUGUUUUUGCUACAGUUUGUAAUAUAUUUAACCACCUAUUGUAUGUUCCUUGGAAACCAGAGACAAAAAAGUUCUUGGCCAUGAAUGGGGCCAAGCUUUUAUGAUGAGGAUUUCUCAAUGUGUUUUCAACAACUCUGGCCUGGUGAUGGUCGAGAUGUAACAGGGAUGAAUUUAGGAAAUGGCCACUAAACUUUCCAGCUUCUUCAAGUACAACUUCACCCUCUGUACUUAGCUUUGAAGCUUCAUACAGACUCAUCAACCCCUUGAUGUCUUCACUUAACAUUUGAUUGAAAUUUCCUUCUCCUUCCUUGAAAUUGUUAAACACAUCUAUAUUCACACGAUAAACCCAAAUUUUGGAUUAGCUAGUUAUCACAUAUUGAAAUUAUACCAGCAAGGGUUGAGCUAAUUUACUGGUACCCAAUACCAACCUAUAGUAUUGAAUUAUAUAUAGAUGGUACUCACCAUCAGAGACGAAGUAACCAUGCUGCCUGAGUAGUCGAAAGCGGAGAGCAACUUCGUGCAGGUCGGUGGGAUCAUGAGCACCGUGAGCAGUAGUACUAGAUAUUAUAUGUUGCUUUUGGAGAAUUUGGUCAAUUUCAUCUUCAAAGUGGUAGUCUAUACCUAGACGUUGAACAGCAUCGAUCAUGUCCAAACCUUCAACUGCUUGUCCUCCCACUUUUUUUAAUGCACUCCUUAAGUCGUCCAAUUUUUGUUCAUGCUGGAAACAAAUUAUGCCAUCCUGCGCACAAGGAUGCUCCAUUUUUCUUACCUUAGAUGUGUGUGUGUGUUUGUGUGAGAGAGAGAGGAUUUUUCUUACCUUAGAUGAAGUAUACUUCGUUUUGGAGUUAAGUGGUUUUAAGGGAGUAGAAAGCAAGCUGUGAUCUUUGGGGAUGCUCCAUUUUUUAGAACUAGGGUUUUUCAGAGCAAUUGGAGGAGUACAAGACGAGGUCGCAAGGGAGGACAGAAAUUUUGAAAAUUCCAUAUUUCUAUAUAUCUAAUCAACUCCCAAAGAAGUAGAAGGCGAAUAGAGAAAAUGAGAUGUUUUUCGCUCCUCUUGAUCUCUCAAUUUAUAGAGAUUGUUCAUUGUGUAGAACAUGUUAUGAUACACUAAUUAGUCUCAUAAUACAAGUAGUUGAAUACUUGAAAAAAAAAUUUAACCAUUUGUAUUAUGACACUUGAUGUACUAAACGUAUUAAUUCCGGUCACACUAAAAAUUUCUCCAAUUUAUAGUCACCAUGAAAAUUGAUUGUCGCUAGUUAUUCAAGUUUUUUUCUUGUGUGGAGUCCUGAGUAUCUGGGUCGGUGGUCCAAGAAAGAAUAAAAUAUACUUAAAGUUCAAAGGCAGAGUACAAUAAUUAAGAUUAAGCAUCUAACUCUAUAAUUCUGUCAUGCAUUUACACAAUUUGGGGCCACUUUUCUCACCGCCUAAUCUUGAUUUGACCAUAAAGCUUGAGGUAACUAAUUUCUUGAAACAUGAAACAUAAGAUGGAGGAACAUUUUCCUGUCAAAUUUGUGUUUAGGGCUCAAAGCGAUCACUCCACCAUUAUAUGUACCGCACACCUUUUUCUCUCAUAUUAGUUCGGCUAUACUCCCUUAUGACAAUUGAUUUUAUAGUGAAAUCUCAAUUUUUUAUGAUAUCAGAGUAGGUUGGCCCACAUAUGAAGCUCAACAGCCACACGUGCUCCAUGUUACCCCUUUUGUGUUGUUCACUUGUUAGACUUAAAAAUUUGUCACAUGCGAGAGGGCACGUGAGGAUAUGAAGGGUAAAAGAUUCUCACAUCGGUGAAGUAAAAAACCUUACAUGAGCUUAUAAGAGGUUAAACUAUUCUCUAUAUUGCCAUUUGGUUUUAUGAUGGAACCACAAUUUUCAUUUCAAGUUAACCCUCAUGAAAGGGAGAAACUUGCAAAGUCCUAUGUUCGUCAACAACGGGACUAGGUGGAUUGUUCUACCAACUUAUAAUAGAAUGUAACUCUUAUCUUGGAGUUUCAACCUAAAAAAAUGACAGUAACAUGUAAAUAUAGAUGGUUUUUUCUUUGAAGAUAGAUCAGACAAUCCACCUUAUCUGAUCACUGUCUAACACAAUUUUUUUUUUUUUGCACUAGCGUGUAUACUCCUUUAUCCUAUUAGAGUGAGGAUCUAGUGACAAGGACCAUUUAGUAAUCUUAUUUUCUUACCCUAUCCUCCUGCAGGCCUCCUCCAUAUAUUGCAUCAUCAAUGAACAAAGUUGAAAUUUGAACAAUAUAUUUCUAAAGUACACAAAAUUUGGUUAAUAAUAAUGUUCCAAACUAUAUAUAUAUAUAACAACAAAGGGACUAGAGUAUUAAUUUAAACCAACAUGGUUGGGCGGCUCAGACAUUUUGUAACCUUUGAAUCUUUUCUUCUUCUUUCUAUUUGCAAAAGUAUAGGGGUCGGGGUCGGGAACUCGGGAUCCAAGGAAGAACCAAAUAUACUUGAAAGUUCAAAUGCAGUGUACGGAACGCGAAAAUAGUGCUAUUCGGCAAAAGCAUGUUUCGGACACCAUCAAUAUUGAAGGAAGCUUCCAAACACAUCUGCCCAAAUUACUGAAAAAAGAUAAAUAAAUGAAAUACGCUCAGAUCUACAACCUUUUGGUUUGGCAAACUUGUGCGGAUCUCAACUAUAUCUAUUUUCCUUUUCUUUAUGUUCUUUGGUAAAAAAAAUUAUAAUAAAAUAGAUUUUUUUUUAAUAAACGAUAUUAUCUAUAUUAAGGUUCAUGUACACGAUUACGUAAUUCAUUAAUUAUGUAAUAUGUAUUAUUUAGAGAAUUGUUUUUGUUGAAUAUAAUUUAGUGAGUUCGACAGCAGCACUCAACACAACUUAAUUAUGACCAAACUAUUUUUUAGACAUUUUUUAAGGAAAUAUAGCCAAAAUGAUCUCUAAGAUUUGCAUAACUUCUCAUUUGGUCAUUGAGAUUUGAAAUCAAUACAAUUGGUCUUUAAGAUUGUCCACCAUCAAUCAUUUUGGUAUUUGCGUGAAUAGUUAUGUUAAAUAAAUAUUAAAAUGAUAAAACUACCCUCAAUUUAAUAAACAAUAGACCAAAAUGAUUUGACAAAAUUUGAGAGUAUUUUUGUCAUUUUAUCCUUAUUUAAUGGCGAUUUUUAACAGAAUUACCAAAAUAAUUUAGGGUGGACAAACUUAAAAUGAUUUGCAUCGACGUCAGAAACGAUUUUGAAUAUAAAUAAAUAAAUUUUGUUGCAUGUCAGAUAUCCUAUUAUACCAUUUUUUUAUACGUACUUUUGUUUUCUUAUUCUUUUGUUUUUUUCCUAAAGCGCUGGCUACAAGAGAGAUUCUUUUCUUUUCUUUAUUCCUUAUUCUUUUUGUUUUUUUUUUUUUUUUUUUUUGACUUAUGUGGUACUGAUUGAAUGUGUUGGUCUUAUAUUUGUAUGACAUGGUCAAUGACAAGUGGGCAUGACAAAAAUCAAGUACAGUGUAAUGAAAACUAAAUUUCAAUGGGUUAAAUUUAAAAUUUUGACAUUGAAGAAAAAAAUAAAAUAAAAUCUCAAGAAACAAUAGAAAUGUUAUAACAUAUACUUUAAAACCCAGUCAAUACGGUUACACACCAAUUAUCAUUUUUCUUUAUUCUUUGUUCUUUCAGUUCUACUGAGAAAAACGUUUCAAUGCUCCAUUUUGAUGACUCUAUUUUUUUCCCCCUUAGUUUAUGUGCACUCUCGCUUGCGAGAUUAUUAAAGACGGAAGAUCAUUAGCACUUUCGUUAGCAAGUUAGCUAGGGUGGUUGUUCAUCAGCGGAUUCCCCUUUUGUUCUUUUAGCUGAAAGGAUAAUAUACGAGAUAUGGUAGGAAUACUGAAAGUCACUGUAGGAGUACUGAAAUUAGUCAAAUUAGACAGAAGUUGAUGAGUAAAGUUGGGUACUAAGGUCAUCUCCAUCCAAAAUGACUAAAUAUGGUCUCAUCCAGAAUUAUAGUUUUGUAAUUUUUUUUAAAUGAAUAAUAUCAAAGCAUAUUCAUAUACCAUUUCUAACUGAAAGAGUUAAGCAUAGUCUAUCAAGAAUUUAUUAGCUUUCAGUUUUUUCUUUGAAUUUAUUGAUUAAUUUAAUUAAAUUACUACUUAUAUCAUUUUAAAAUAUAGUUAUUCGAACAUUAUUUUUGAGUGUUAGGUGAAGGACAACUUCUAGAAGACACGUUAAAAAGAAUUUUCACAAGAAUUUCAACAAUUUAUCAGUAAUAAUAAAAAAGAUUAAUUGUUAAUUCCUCAUGAUUAUAAUUACAGGAAAUAGGGAUGGCCUACCAAACCUAAUUUUGGGACUUUUGUUAAGUAAAGUUGGGAAUGGCACAUAAUGUUGAUGGGUCUGUACGUGAUCCUCAGACAUUUUCACGAUGCAUACGAGACUCACGUCAAUUCCUAUCGUGAUCCCACACUGUUUUUUUUUUGGUAUGCUGCGGGAAACUGGAACGGCAAGACUUUUCGAAAAAACGAGUACAACUUUGAAAUUUUCGUUUUUUUCUUCUUUCUUUUUAUGGAAUUACUAGUGACUAGUUACUGUAAGAAGGAAAAAGAUUCUUUUCGAAUCUUCUUUGUGGAGAUCUGAGGGAUCAAUAAAUCACGACCGUUCAUCGUAUAUCAUGCGAUUAUUUUUUGUUAAAUACUAUUUAUGUUCAAUUUUAAAUUUUAAAUGAUUUCUGACCGCGUGAUGUACGAUGAACGAUAGUGAUUGAUUGAUCAUCCAGAUCCCCACAUAGAAAAUCUGAAGAUGAAUCUUUUCCCUAUAAGAAGAACAACAACCCAAAACGCUAACUUUGUGGAACUUUCAUUGUUUUUGUUAAACAUUGAUUACGACCCCCGGGACUGAAAGCUAAAUUGGUAUUAAUUCCACUCCAUGCAUCUUCCUUUUUCACCUACAUACACAGCUAAGAGCAUCUCUAAAAAAGAUGUCAAAAUAUAAAUGUCAAAUGUUAAUUUGAUAGCUGAUGUGGUAAUGUUAGAUUUUCUAUUUUUCCAACUGAUAUGUUUCUUUGUUAUAAAUGAUAUCUGUAGGACUCAUUUUAAAAAAAAAUCAAUUAAAAUACAUUUUCAAAAUCUAUAAUUGGUGCAUUAAUAGGACCCACACAGUAAAAUAAUUAUAAAAAAAUUGGCAUCAAAGUCAUUACAAAUUGUACCAUCUUAAUCACAAACAGCAUCCCUUAUGUACAACAUGGUAAAGUUUUUUCACGUUCCUUUUCACAUUAGUCCCAAUCCUCAUCCAGAGGAUUGCAUGGGAUCUUCAUUUGAACUUUAGCAACCUAUCUUCGGACGUGUAAAACCGGAAUCCUUUCUUCAUCCAACAGCCUUAAUUAUAUCGGGCGAUGGUGUUAAAUCGAGUCUAAACAAUUAGAGAUUAAACCAUGCUGAACUCUAGUUUUGUCAAGCUCUUGUGAUAGGGAUGCUCCAAUGCAUAUGCGACUGCUGAAGCUUGAUGUGUUAGUGUUGAAGAACAAUGUUUGAGUUAUAAUUUGUCUUGAAAAGGCUCAAGAGUUAAAGAGUAUGUGGAAUAAACAACGACAAUAAUUUAAUGUGAAACGGAAAGUCCAAUUUUUGUUAUAGAACUUAAAAUGUGUUUUUAGAUGUAUAAACGGCCUUGGUUGGGGAUUGGUUUAAUUAAACACAGGUAUAAUUAUAUGUUUACUGCAAUAAUCUUGAUCGUUAAAUUUAGUCAAUGGAUGAGAUUACUGAGAGGAACAAGAGGCAUGUUCAACAACCCUUCAUAUAUGUGUUGUCACAUUACAUUUUCUACAGCUAAAUAAUCUAGUCCAAUAUGCUCAAAGGGUACAUUUUCUUUUUGGGCUGCGGUCAAGACUCAAGCCCAUAUCAAAAGAAUUCGAGUUGUAUUUUUUACAUUACGUGUUUUAAUAGGAAUUGUGAGAACUUUUAUUUUUUAAGUUUUUAAUUUUUUAGCACACAUAUCUCACAAUUUGUAUAAUGACAUAUGAUGUACCAUUCCGUUAUUGGCUGAAAAAUCUCAACUCCUCCUCCGAGAGGAUGUCGUUCUUCUCCAGCGCUCCUUCUGCACCGCCACCCAAUCUAACGUCACCAGCGGUAGGAGCAUUGGCGCCAUCUCCACCGACCUCUACAAAGAGCGCAACCUCAAACGCCUCGUUGAGAAGUUCAAAAAAUCAUCCGAGCUCUAUCGCUUCCGUACCAAACUCCCAUUUAGAGGACACCGUACGCCGUCUCGCCUCCGCAAAACGUUUCAAGUGGAUCGAGGAGAUCCUGGAGGACGAGAAGCAGUACGCGGACUUCUCCAACGAGGGAUUCGCUGUCCCACUGGUUAAGCUUUACGGGAGAAUGCCGGUGCUUGACGAAAUGCCUGAGAAAAACUGUGAGCGCACCGUCUUGUCCUUUAAUGCCCUCUGGGUGCUUGUGUUAACUCCAAGGAUUUUGACAAGGUUGAUGAGGUUUUCAGAGGGGUCUCUCAGAAGUUGUCAAUUGAACCAGAUGUGAUGUCGUAUAAUACUAUGAUCAAGGCGUUUUGUGAAAUGGGUUCGUUGGAUCGGCGGUUUCGAUGAGAUGGAGAAGAAGGGUGUUGAGUCGGAUAUGAUCAUGUUCAACACAAUCAUGAAUGGGUUGUUUGCGAAUGAUCAGUUUUUGGCAGCCGAGAAUCUAUGGAGUUGAAUGAAGAAUGUUGUCCCUGAUGUUAGGAGCUACAAUGCCAGGUUGUUGGGAUUGGCUUCGGAGAAGAAAACUGACGAGGCGGUUGAAUUGUUCAAGGAAAUGCGGAACAAGGAAGUAAAACCUGAUGUGUUAAGCAUCAAUGCCUUGAUCAAGGGAUUUGUUAAUGAGGGUAAAUUGGAAGAAGCUAAACAGUGGUAUCGUGAACUGGUGAAGCGUAGUUGUGCUCUGCAGAAAUGAACUUUCCAGGCUCUUGUUCCUUUUGUUUGCGAGAGGGGUGAUUUGGACUUUGCCUUUGAACUCGGCGACAAAAUUUUCAAAGGGCGUCUCCUUGUGGAUGUGGAGUUACUGCAGACUCUGGUGGAUGGGAUAGCUAAUGCUUCCCGGAUCAAUGACGCAAAGAAGAUUGUGAGGCUUGGGAACACAAAUACAUACCUGCGUUACAAUUUGCAGUUGCCUUCAGAGGAAUAAUGUAUUUCUGUUGUUGUUUGUUUCUGUUUGCAUGUCGAAAUGUUUGUGCUUUUAUUGCUAGACACUUCUAAUUUAUAUAGUUAAAUUUGUGCAAGCUUCAAACAUUCCUUCAAUUUCAGUGUUGAAUAGUUAUUAUUACACAGAUUUUCAUACAGCCUGGAUUUCAUAUACGCCUCAAGAGGUGGAAGGUGUUGGUCAUCAUCGUAGCGACACAUUAACAGGACCAAUUCUUUGUUUAACUGCUUCCAUUCUUCCUAAAUCAUAUUUACAGUAUUUUCUUGUGUUUCCUCUGUUGUGCUAGGACAGCACCAAACCCGUUGGAACCAACUCAAGCUAACCCACAGGAAAUUUAUCAAAUGAAAUGCAAGAACAAAAUAUUAAAGACACCAAGAUUUUAACGAGGUUCCUCAACAGUCAGUGUAACUGGAGUACGUCCUCGGAGCAGUAGGAGCUCACCCAAUAAUCCACUAUCAACCAAAUGGGAGUUUACAAAAUGUUGACAAUCUCACAACCCAAAAGCCCAAUACACCCAAUAACUCUCACACACCAAAGAAACAAAUAGAGAGGGAAAUAUAGUGAAUAAUUUCAUCUCUAUACAAAGCUCAAAGCUAAUACACGAAUACAACUUUGAUUGAGUGAGUACCAACAAAGAAAGAAAAUCACCUUUCUUUCUUCUAUUCAAAAUGGGGCUGCAGCACCUCUGUUUUUGCUCUCAUUUUCUGCUACGUUUUUUUCCUCUCUUAUGGCUUCAUUACUACACUUCAUCAAAAAUAGCAAUUAUUUCUCUUUCGAAGAACUCAUCCGUGACUUCCCAUGGACCAAGACAACUUUAGACCAAUUCCCUUUUCUUUUCCCCAAAACAAGGAAGAGACAUAAUUAUUUUGUCUUUUUUUUUCUUUUUGAUUUGUUUAAUUAAAAGGUGGCCACUUGGCCACAUACUCCAACAAUCUCCACCUUGGCCAAGUUCCGAAAAACGUCAUGAUAAGCCAACCAACACAAUUAACACACAACAUCACUCCCAAACAUUAGCAAGAGAACAACUCAUGCCGAGCCAAAUACUCCAAAACUCCUACUGCUCAACGCCUUCUUUAUAUAGGCAUAAUGUGAGCCAAGUUCAAACAGUGAACAAACUUGGCUACACCAACAACCUUAGUCAACAUAUCAGCGGGGUUGUCUUUCGUUGGAAUCUUCUGGAGAAUGAUUUCCCCUUCACCAACAAUUUCACGAACAAAGUGAUAACGCACAUCUAUGUGCUUGGUCCUCGCAUGAUGAACCUGAUACUUAGCCAAAUAAAUGGCACUCUGACUAUCACAAUGUACCUCCACCUGCUGCUUCUGAUCAACCCCCAAAUCUCUAAUAAGCCCAUGUAUCCAAAUGGCCUCCUUUAUAGCUUCAGCAACUGCCAUAUAUUCAGCCUCUGUAGUAGACAAGGCAACAGACGACUGCAAAAUGGACCUCCAACAAACUGGCCCUUUAGCCAUAGUAAACACAUAGCCUGUAGUAGACUUCCUUCCAUCCAGAUCACCUGCAUAAUCUGAAUCAAUAUAACCAACUGCAAAAUGACCAAUACCAGAGUCAUCUCUCUCAAAGCAUAAACCAACAUCUCGAGUACCAUGGAGAUACCUCAAUAUCCACUUAGCUGCUUGCCAAUGCUCUUUACCUGGAUUAUGCAUAUAUCGACUCACCAUGCCAACUGCAUGAGCAAUAUCCGGUCUAGAGCAUACCAUUGCAUACAUCAAACUACCAACCAAAUUUGCAUAUGGUAUAUUUUUCAUUUGCAGCUUCUCUUUAUCAGUUUUAGGACACUGUAAAGAACUCAAUUUAAAAUGAGGAGCCAAAGGGGUACUAACCGGUUUGGUUGAAUCAUGAACUCCAAAUUUCCGAAUCAACUUCUCAAGAUAUUGUCUUUGAUUCAAACUGACCAAACCCUUCUCUCUAUCUCUAGUGAUCUCCAUGCCAAGGAUCUUCUUCGCUUCACCAAGAUCCUUCAUCUCAAACUCAUUCUUCAUUUGCUUCUUCAAUUUCUCAAUCUCUUCAACAUUCUUUGAGGCAAUCAACAUAUCAUCAACAUAUAUUAACAAAUAAAUGAAAGACCCAUCUUGCAACUUCUUGAAGUACACACAAUGAUCAUAUUGACUUCUAGAAUAAUUUUGGCCUCUCAUAAAUUUAUCAAACCUCAAAUACUAUUGCCUUGGAGAUUGCUUCAAGCCAUAAAGCGAUUUCUUCAAUUUGCAAAACAAAUUUUCCUUCCCUUUCACUAUAUACCCAUCCGGUUGACACAUAUAGAUCUCUUCAUUCAAAUCACCAUGUAGGAAAGCCGUCUUCACAUCAAGUUGCACAAGCUCAAGAUCAUACUGUGCAACAAGAGCUAACAUAAUGCGAAUUGAGGAGUGUUUCACAACCGGAGAAAAGAUUUCAUUGUAGUCAAUGCCCUCCUUUUGUGCAUACCCUUUAGCAACUAAUCUUGCUUUAAAUCUCACAUUGCUUUUCUCAUCAGCAUCUUCCUUCUUGGCAUACACCCAUUUGCAACGGAUAGCUUUCUUGCCCUUAGGCAAUUUAGCUAAGUCCCAAGUCUUGUUCUUCAAGAGAGAAUUCAUCUCAUCACCCAUGGCAUUGCACCACCUUUUCUUCUCCUCACUCUCAAUAGAUUCCUCAAAAUUGGAUGGAAUCUCAUCAGUGAUAAUAGGAAGAGCAAAAGCAACAUAGUCACUGUACCGAGCUGGCUUGGUAAUUUGUCUCUUUCCUUUGUUCUUAGCAAUAGACUCUUGAGGUGAAACUUGCUCUUCAACUUGAAUAGAAUCUUCAAGUUCAACUUCUUCAACAUCCUCAUGGUCUCCAACUUCUUCACUUGUAGUGGCUUCGACAUCAGCGGAAAUAGGAUUUGAAGUAUCAGAGGCAACUUUCUCAAGCUCCACCUGUUGGACAUCUUUCACAUUCUUCUCAGAGACUUUGUACAUACUUUCUUCAUCAAAUGUCACAUCUCUACUAAUUACCAGUUUCUUCAUCUCUGGACACCACAACCUGUAACCUUUGACCACUACUAAAACCAAGAAAGAUAGCCUUUUUGGCUCUAGGAUCAAGUUUAUUUUCAGUCACAUGAAAAUAAGUAGGUGAACCAAAAAUACGGAUAUAGUCAUAAUCAGAAGAAGGUUUUCCAGUCCAUACCUCCAUUGGUGUCUUACCCUGAACAGCAGCUGAAGGUAAUCGGUUGAUGAUGUGACAUGCAUAAUUAACUGCUUCUGCCCAAAAUGACUUGCUUAAACCCGACUGAGACAACAUACAUCUAACCUUCUCAAGCAAGGUUCGAUUCAAUCUUUCUGCAACUCCAUUUUGUUGUGGAGUUCCCCGAACACUAAAAUGUCUCACAAUUCCUUCCUCUUUGCAAACUUUAAAGAAAGGGUCGGAUGUGUAUUCACCACCAUUAUCCGAUCUCAAAAUCUUAAUCUUUCUCCCAGUCUGGUUCUCAACCAUUUUCUUCCAUCCCAAGAAAAUGCUUAACACCUCACUCUUAUGCUUCAUAGUGUAGACCCAAGACCUUCUUGAAUAAUCAUCAACAAAGGUCACGAACCAAUGUCUACCACUCAAUGAAGGAGUCUUUGUAGGACCCCAAACAUCCGAAUGCACAUAAUCAAGAAUGCCCUUCGUCUGAUGUACAGCAGUACCAAACUUCACUCUAGUUUGCUUCCCCAAGACAAAAUGCUCGCAGAAAUCAAGUUUACAAGUCGUGGCACCUUUUAAAAGACCUUGUUUCACAAGCCCUUGUAGAGCUUUCUCACCAGCAUGGCCUAAUCUCAUAUGCCACAGUCUAGUAGUAUCUGAAUCAGAUGUACCCAUAUUUUCUGAGACUACAGAUGCUUCACCUGUCACAGUGCUUCCCUGCAAUAAAUACAAAUGGCCACAUCUAGGAGCUUUCAUCACAACAAGUGCACCAUAAGUAACUUUCAAUGUAUGUCCAUCUGAAUGAAACCUGAAACCCUUAGAUUCCAAAGUACCCAAAGAAAUAAGAUUUUUCUUCAAAUUCGGUACAUACCGAACACCUGUCAACUCUUUAACCAUGCCAUCAUGCAACUUCAAACGAACUGUACCAAUCCCUUUUGUUGUGCAAGGAUUGUCAUCUCCCAUGAACACAACGCCACCAUCAAACUCUUUCAAGCUUGAAAACCAAUCCUUGUGAGGAGUCAUAUGAUGAGUACAACCCGUAUCCAACACCCACUUAGUAGCACAAUCAAAUGAUGAGGAAGUGGUUAAAGCAAAAUCAGAAAAAUCUGUUUCAACCUCAGCAACAUUAGCUUCAGAACUUUCUUUGCCUUUGGUCUUCAAUUUAGGACAAUCUUUCUUCCAAUGGCCCUUAUUACGACAAAAGGCACAUUCAUCUCUUUCCAAAGGUUUUCUACCUUUAGAGUUUCCUCUAGGUCGAGACUGUGAUUUUUUCCUACUAGAAGAUGAUCUUCUCUCCGAUGAUCUAACUCUAACAAAUAAAGCUUCAAAUGUACUAUCAUGAUUUUUAUCUCUAUGCCUCAUUUCAUAAUUCAUCAAGGCAUUUGACACAUCUUCAAAUUUCACAGUUUCUUUACCAUGCAUAAUAGUGGUAACAAAAUGCUCAUAAGAGUCCGGCAAGGAAUUCAACAAUAUUAAGGCCUUAUCUUCAUCCUUAAUAUCCUCAUCUAAAUUUAACAAGUCGGCAAUCAACUUAUUAAAAGCAUCAAGGUGUCUAAUCAUUUUUAUACCUUCUUUGUAUUGGAAGCGGUAGAGUUUUCUUCAAGUGUAGCCGGUUCUCUGCACUCUUCGUCAUAUACUUGUCUUCCAAUUUUUGCCACAACACACUUGCUACCGUCUCCCGCAUCACAAAAUACUUCUGAGUUUUUGCAAGGCACAACCGAAUUGAAGAGCAAGCCCACAAAUUUAAUUUCUCCCAUUCCGGCUUCGACAUAGCUUCUGGCUUCUCUCCCAAAGCGGUAAGUAGAUCUUGUUGAGCCAACACAUCUUUGACCUCACAUUGCCACAUCCCAAAGUUGUUUGUGCCAUCAAACUUUUCCACUUCGAACUUUGCAUUUUGCACCGUAGUUCUUGCAAACCCGGAGCUGCUUCCAAAAGGAUUUUCAUCUUGCCCAUCUGACAUCUUUGGCAACUAGACAGUACCCAAGAGCAACCAGUGCUCUGAUACCAAUUGUUGUGCUAGGACUAGGACAGCACCAAACCCGUUGGAACCAACUCAAGCUAACCCACAAGAAAUUUAUCAAAUGAAAUGCAAGAACAAAAUAUUAAAGACACCAAGAUUUUAACGAGGUUCCUCAACAGUCAGUGUAACUGGAGUACGUCCUCGGAGCAGUAGGAGCUCACCCAAUAAUCCACUAUCAACCAAAUGGGAGUUUACAAAGUGUUGACAAUCUCACAACCCAAAAGCCCAAUACACCCAAUAGCUCUCACACACCAAAGAAACAAAUAGAGAGGGAAAUAUAGUGAAUAAUUUCCUCUCUAUACAAAGCUCAAAGCUAAUACACAAAUACAACUUUGAUUGAGUGAGUACCAACAAAGAAAGAAAAUCACCUUUCUUUCUUCUCUUCAAAAUGGGGCUGCAGCACCUCUGUUUUUGCUCUCAUUUUCUGCUACGUUUUUUUCCUCUCUUAUGGCUUCAUUACUACACUUCAUCAAAAAUAGCAAUUAUUUCUCUUUCAAAGAACUCAUCCGUGACUUCCCAUGGACCAAGACAACUUUAGACCAAUUCCCUUUUCUUUUCCCCAAAACAAGGAAGAGACAUAAUUAUUUUGUCUUUUUUUUCUUUUUGAUUUGUUUAAUUAAAAGGUGGCCACUUGGCCACAUACUCCAACAUCCUCCAUUGAAGAACCUAGAUUUUCAUCUAAGUAGCGUCGUAUGUAUGACCCCUCGUGCCGAUACUGAUUCUCAUCCUUCAGUCAAGCUAUGCACUUUUUGAGAGAUAUGAACAAGAUGUUUACUCUAUGUAACGUGUUUGAUUUGAAUCUAAUUAUAUAUAAUCACCUCGGCGCUUCCCAAAUCUUCCCAAAGCCGAAGAAUUGCUGCUGUGGAAGAUGCAAUUUCUAGAGUUCCAUUCAACGGCUCCACGCUUUCUUUGGUUAUACUUUGACCCAAGAGAAAGAAUCUAUGCACCAUCAUCGCAUUAACCCCAGAAGAAGGGUUAAUCUCAUGCUGAAGUUUUUUAGUUUUCAACUUUUAGUACAUGAUUUUUUUUUUCAUUCUAGUCUGAUACCUAAAGUCAUAAUUCUGGGACAUUUUCAUAUAUCCGUUAAGUUUUCCGUCAGGACCUCAAUUAACUGAUGAUGUGGCGCUCACUUGGACAAUGAUUGAGCGCCACGUGUCAAUAUGGGCCUAUGUGAAUAUUAAAAAAAUUAAAGUUUUUUCUUUCUUUUCUAGGCAUCCUACUUCCCUCAGACCCUCUCCCCUCAUUCUCCCUCCAUUCUCUGCACCCACCCUCCCCGCUCACCCACAAUUUGCCCUGCUCCUCUUCCACCUAUCUAGGUAUGACGUAGGCUUUGCCGCCGCACAAAUGGGUCGGUGUUAUCGAAGGUCAGCCGCAGGUGGCGGUGGAUCAACGGAGUCAGUAGCGGAUCGACGUUUCGGAGAUAGCUAAUUGCAGUUUCGAUUGCUGAACUAUCUUAAUCUUGGAGGCCAUGGUGACGGUGACGGGUUUGGGGGUUUCGAAUAUGGCAACGAUCUGAUGGGAGGAAUUGGGUGAAGAGGGUGGAGGAGAGAGAAGAGAGGGGAGGUGAAGAGGGUAGGGGUGGGUAUUGUAUAGAGGUUGGGUGGGUGCAGAGGAAAGAAGGGAGGGAGCAAGGUAGAUGUGUGGGUGUGCGGGGAGGUGGGUGUAGGGAAAAGAAGGGAAGGAGAAGGAGGGAGGGUGUAAUAUCCCACAUCGCCCGAGGGAGGGGAGGUGAUGUGUCUUAUAUGUAUAUGUCCACCUCCCUAUAGUAAGACGCGUUUUGGGUGGAAGCCCAAGAACAAAACCGUGAGGGCGUGGCCCAAAACGGACAAUAUCUUAUUAUGCGGACUGGGAUGUGACAAUUUGGUAUUAGAGCCACUCCCCGGCCGAAAGUGUGCCGACAAGGGCGUUGGGCCCCUAAAGGGGUGGAUUGUAAGAUCCCACAUCGUCCGGGGGAGGGAAGGUGAUGUGCUUUAUAUGUACAUGCCCACCUCCCUAUAGAAAGACGUGUUUUGGGUGGAAGCCCAAGAACAAAACUGUGAGGGCAUGGCCCAAAGUGGACAAUAUCUUACCAUGCGGACUCGUGAGGGCGUGGCUCAAAUCGGACAAUAUCUUACUAUGUGGACUGGGAUGUGACAAAGCGAGGCGGGAAGGGUGAGGCAGGAUGCCCAAAAAAGAUUUUUUUUUUAAAAUUUCCACGUGGAUCCAUAUUGACAUGUGGCGCCCAGUCAUUGUCCACGUAGGUGCCACUUCAUCAGUUAAUGAAUGUUCUGACGGAAAACUUAACGAAUGUAUGAAAAUGUUCCAAAAUUAUGACUUUAAGUACCAAACUGGGACAAAAAAAACUUCAUGUAUCAAAGGUUGAAAAUCAAGAAAUUUUAGGGUAGUAAACUAAGAUUAACCCCUAGAAGAGACAAUACCAUUCUUUAAGUAGUCUUCCGCUUUCGGCAAGUGCCCGGAUUUGAACCGUUUUGCUUCUGCUAAAAAUGCAUUGCACAGAACCCCCCACUGCACGUGAUAGUAGAAUUAACUAUAUGUUAAACCUUCUCUUGAACAAACUAGUAAUUAAAUUUCAUGACACUAAUCCGGUUUAAUAUAUUACCUUCUUAAACGAAUGUAAUGGGUAUCGCCCAUGCUUUUGAUAGAAUUUGCAGCUGAUUUCAUUCGUCAUAUGGUAAAGAGCCUUGAAAUAUAUGUUCAUGUAGUCCGGUUUAAGUGCUCUAUAGCACCAAUUUCGCAUCUGCAGCGUAACAUUUACUGAUCAAUUCACGGUGAAAACUGGUGAAGCCAAUUAAGAAAGUACAGGCAUUUUAUUGUUUACAUAUUGACAGCCUCAGUGAAGAGAGUAAGUUCAUCAAGCGUCUCGUACAUCGAAAAUGUCAUCGAUAAAUGGUUUUGUGAACUGAAUCCUCUCCUCUUACAAGUUAGGAUCUGUUGAGCGCAAACUACAGUUCCCUAGGCAGUCCCAUCUCUUUCCAUCACCUAAUUAUUUUGUUGGAUGAAAUAAACAGACAAAUUAGGAUUUCUAUAGUGCAGUUAAUCGUAUUGUUUACAUGCAGAUAUAUUCUUGAUAUUGAUGAUAUUGUUGGUACUUCGACCUUGUAGAUAUGUGUACAACAUGGUUGACGAUAAAUUGGACAGCAUUUUUAAGAAGUGCUGUUAAAUGCACGAUGUCAGUUAAUUUUGGAAAUUUGAAUAUCUACUUCUGAUGUAUGGACUGAACCAAAUUAAAAUCCGUUUUGCCACAUCCUGUAGCAUAUUUAGCCAUCUAUUGUUCAUGCCAGCUUGGGAAUUAGUAAAAAAAAGUGGCCAUGAAUGUGGCCAAGCUUUUGUGAUGGGGGUACUCCAGUGUGUUCCCCACAACUCUGGCCUAAUGAGGACCAGGAUAGGACAAUGAUCUAUUAGGAGAUCACUACUCAAUUUUCCAGCUUCAUCAAAUGCAUCUUCUCCUUCCCUGCUUAGCUGUGAAGCUUCAUACACACUCAUCAAUCCCUUGACCUCUUAACUAAUUAACAUUUUCUUAAAAUGCUUCCUUCUCUUUCCUUCAAGUUGUUGACACAUCUAUUAAUAACAAAAGUUAUAAUUGGGAGUGAUUGACUGAUAUUGAAUAUCAAUCUACAAUACUACGUAAAUAUACGAAACAAAUUGUUACCGAAAUUUUAGUUAUACUCACCCUCAGGCACGAAGUGACCAUGUGGCCAUAACAGAAGGGCAACUUCAUGAAGGUCAUUUUGCUGAUGAGAAAGGCCAGGAGCUGAUAGAUAUGAUUAGGUCAAUUUGUUCUUCGAUAGUGGUAAUCUAUACCUAGACGUUGAACAACAUCGAUCAUGUUCAAACUUUCGAGCGCGCCUUCUCCUCCUACUUUGCUCAAUACAUUCCUGAAGGCCUCCAACUUUUAUUCAUGUCAGAAACGGCAUGUCAUCCUGCAAGCAAAGUGGAGUUAUUGGAAGAGUGGACAUAGGUUUGGAUAUAAAUAGCUGAAUGAGAUUAGAGUGCCCAAGAAGUAGGAUCUCUUUUAGCAAUAUUUGGAGUGGAGAUAGCAAAGAUGGCCUGAGAAGAAAAUGCCAUAGAGGGAAGAGUACAAGGUAUGUACCUUGUUUAACAAGUGUUUAAAUUUGUUGGCAUUCUUCGGCACAUGUAUCUAACCAGGGCCGGAGCCAGAUAGAUGUAGGUGGCCCUGACCCUCUCGCACCAUUUGAGCAAGCUUACAUUAUUCCUUGAUUUGCACAAGUUGUUCAUCAUUCAAUGUUACUUUUAUAUUAUAUGUUUUGCCUUUCAGCCCUACACAUAAAAUUGUUCAUCUACAACUCCAUUUAUGGCACAAAACGUCAACAUGUUUCUCAUUUAUAGAGCCCAUAUGAAAUUAUAUCUUUGUGACAUGCUAAAAUGCAAACUCCCACUUGUGUAUCAUUACAUAUUUGGAAUAACCAGAAAAUAGUGCAUUGCGUGAUCAUUCAUUGCUAUCAUAUAAAAAAAUAUUGUUCCAUUGCCUAAUAAACCCUACAGUUUUUUGUUGAAUAUAACUUCAUAAAAGGGAAGUAAGGUAUUAAAAUGACCAAAUAACCCUAAACACGAGUAACUUAUAUUGGAUGGAAAACUUAACGAAGUUAGGGAGAGAUAACAAAUUAAUGAUUUCAUUAAGUUGAUAUGACAAAUUGCUUAAAAUUUUAGUUUAUAUGACAAAUUACAAAAUCCGUACAAGUUCAUAUGAUAUUUCAAAAAAUUUCCUUACUUUCAAAGAGUUUUAUGAUAGAAUGCCAACUUCCUUCAUGGUAUCAAAAUAAAUUAAUCUAUGUGUGAAUCUUGGCAACCACACGUAUUUCACAUCAGUUAAUUUGUUCAUUGUUAGGUCCCCGUUAAUACCUUGACCACAAUCAGUGAUAUAUUAGCAGAUUAAAUAACAAUUAUUAGUGAGUGAUUAGUUAUAGCCAGCUGACAGUUUGUUUGAGUGGAGAGUUAUAUAUGAGCUCAUGCUCUGGAGGUAAAAGCUAAGAACAAAUUUUACAAAACGAAAUCAAAAUACAAAAAAAUAUUGGAGCACUGCUCCUUCUCUUCCCUCCUUCCCCCCUUCCCCCUUCUUCCCUAUCUCUCAGUGUUACUUGCAUGUUGAAUAGGGAAUUGAGAAUUGGAUUUUAUCAUUCAUGCUUUCAACAUAAUAAAUUUUAGUUGAAACCAUAAUUUUUGUGCGUUUAGAAUGUGUUGUCCAUUCCAAAUGUACCAUGUGGUGUUCGAAGUUUUCUAUUUGAUUUAUGUUUUUGGACUACCAGUAUUUGUACAAGGCUAUAUUAUUAUUGUUGGAUACCACUAUUUAUCACACUAUAUACGAGAUAUGUUUUAUGAAAGAUUUUAUGGCAUGCUAAGGUUUUCUGAAAACCUAUUACAUAUUAUACUAUUAAGUUUUCAUAAAACUUUGGAGGUUAGUAUGUUGAAUAACUGUUUCAAUAUUAUAUAUAUAUAUAUAUUAUAUAUAUAUAUAUAUAUCAACUUGGUCCACUCAUAUUUGUAUUGCACCCCCUCAGAACUUAGAUUCGAGGCGUACAAUCUUGGCGUCAAGGUACUCCCGCAUCAGCAUCUUCGAGUCCUCUCAGUGUAUGACUCACCUCUUUGUUCAUUCAAUUUCAUAUUAUUCCUUGUUAGUGUUUAGGAUUAGUUGUAUGCUUUGAACACAUUCCUCAUUUGCAUAAUCAUUGUAUUUAAAUUCAUAACUUUUAUUUACAUUCGUUGUUCUCAUGCAUCCUAAUAUGGCCUCGUCACCUUCGGGUGUCAGUCAGUACGUGCCUACCCUGGUAUUCAGGGAAUAUCAGGGUCGGGCGUGUCAAGUAAUGACUUUAUAUUCAGUUUCAAUAGAGAAUUGAGAAAUUGUGUUCUGUUUAUUGGAAGACCAAGAGAUAGGAUUAUACCCCAAGAAAACUACAAGUCCAGUUGUUGACCUUCUGUCAUUAGGGUCUCUAGCCCAAUCGGCAUCACUAAAUGCAUGUAAAUCUAAGACACCUUUAACAAAUUGAAUACCAUAGUUCUGUGUACCCUACAAAUACCUAAGUAUCCUUUUUACAGCGAGAAAGUGAGACUCCAUUGGACAAUGCAUGAACUGACAGACUAGAUGCAUUGAGAAUGCAAUAUUUGUUCUAGUAAAGGUAAGGUACUGAAGUGCCCCUACAAUACUUCUGUAUAAUUCAAGAUUGUUCCCAUCAUCUUUGAGCAAUAUGUUAUAUGACACAUUUCUGUUUUUGUAAGUAAAUCAGACACGUACUUAGCUUGAGAAAGAAACAACCCCUCUUGAUUCUAAGUAAUCUAAAUGCCAAGAAAGUGUCCCCAAGUCUUUAAUAUCAAAUUCCUUAGUCUAGGCAGCAAUGACCAGGUUGCUAAGACUGUUAUAAGGUUGUUGAGUAACAGAAAUAUCUUCAAUUGUUUUUUGUAAUGACCACACAACAAUUUUGCAUUGUAGGUAAAAAGCUCAAUUCAAUAAAUCAAAUAUUGUAACAAAUCACGUGACAUGACAAACAAUUAAUAGAUAGUUUGACUAAUUUAUAAUCACAUGGCAUCUAAAAUUAUGCAUUAGUUUUAGAGAAAUUCCUCCAUAAAACUACUAAAUGUUGGGGCCACAUAUUUGCCCCAAAUUCAUGUGGACAAGCUAUUCAUGAUCCAGCUGGUUGAUGAAGUUGAGAGUAUGAACUUUAUACCGAAAAAUUAAAGUCUCACUUCUUGGAUAUUUUUAUUCAUUGUUAAUCAAUUUUUAGUUGGAUGGCCACAUAAAAGUUUAGUUUGUAACAAGUUUAGCAAAUCUCGGCCCUUCAACAACUAGGAUAUUUUUUUCUUUCAGAAAAGAAAACAACUGAAGAGCAUCAAAUUAAUCUCUUCAUUUUACAUUCUCCCUUCCGGUAGCGAUUCACAUGCCUUGCACUUAUGUUCUAGUUGUUUAUUCCUUGCUCAGUAGGAUAAUAAUGUAUUAUAAACUAGCUAGGGUAAUUCUAUUUGUACCCAUUGCACGUAAGAAAUCGAAAUCAAAUCAACUUCAUGCAUGAAGCAUCGAUUUCAUGUACUCGUCAAGAGAUGGAAGGCGCUGGUUGUCGUCGUAGCUAUACAUCAAUGGCACCAUUCUUGCGAGAUUUAGGGAAGCCUUUGUGAAUGCCGCGGGAAGUGGAUUAGGAGACACCAAUUCUUUGUUCAGCUUCUUCCAUUCUUCUGAAAUCAUAUUUGUAACAUGUUCUUGUGCUUCCUCCAUAGUCUUGCCUUGAUGUUCAUUUAAAUACAACUUUACAUAUGACCCGUCGUCCCCAUCUUGAUUCUCAUCCUACAAUCAGUACGACGAUAAGAAAAUCUGACGUGCUCUAUGUGCAUAUAUAUACAUGCAUGCUACAAAUUUUGAUGGACAAAUAUAUAUAUAGCUUUUGUGUGAUGGAGUCGGCCAAGACAUCGACCACACAUGAUAUAGAACCUCAUAAGCAGGGAUGAAUAGGCAUUUAGUUACUAGGGUGCUUGAUAUAAAUGAUACUACAAAUAUGUAGUUACCUUGGCACUUCCCAAGUCGUCCCAAAGCCGAAGAAUUGCUGCCGUUGAAGAUAUAAUGGCUGGAGUGCCAUUCAAGAACUCCACACUUUGAUUGGUUAUACCUUCACCCAACAGAAAGAAAAUGUGGACCAUCACCACAUUCACCCCAGAAGAAAUAAUUCCAUUCUUCAAGUACUCUUCAGCCCUAGGCAAGUGCCCAGAUUUGAACCAUUUUGCUUCCACUAAAAAUGCAUUGCACAGACUAGCCCACUGCACGCAAACAAAUAGAAUGAAUUAAGCUAUAAUUAAGCCUUUCUUAAUAUGCUAGUAAAUAAUUGUCACGACAUUAAUCCAGUUAGAUAGAUAUACUUAAUAAUAAGGCAAUACUACAGUUUACAUAUAUAUAUAUAUACCGUCUUCUUUAGCGAAUGCAACGGGUUCCAUCCGUGCCUUUGAUAGACCUUACAGCUGAUUUCAUUCGUCAUAUCGUAAAGAGCCUUGAAGCAUAUCUUCAUGUAGUCCGGUAAGUGCUCUAUAGAACCAAUUUCCCAUCUGUAGCAUAAUAAUGUUCUUGUCAGUUCACUGUGAAAAGUAGUGAAAUUAAUUAAGAAGUUACGGGAUGUUUUAAUUAUUGCUACCUAUUGACAACCUCCGUGAAAAGAGUGAGUUCAUCAAGUGUUCCGUAAACGUCAAAAAUGUCAUCAAUCAAAUAGAUAAAUGAGAUAGGUUUUGUGAGCUCAAUCCUCUCAUCUGACAAGUUUGGAUUUGUUAGGCAAGCCAUGGACCAAAUGUACCAUUUAAUAGGUUGGUCUCUUGCAAACUUCAACUCCUUACACAAUCCCAGCUCUUUCCACCAUCUAAUUAAGUUAAUUGAAACAAAUAAACAUUGAUUAGCAACUGGUUAAUUUAUUAAAUAUAGAGACAACAAUUGAAGAUUAAGGUGCUAUUUUCCAAUAAAGUUACUUACUUGGAAACUUGAGCAACUUCUUUCUGGUGAAGGGACUGGACCAUAUUUAAAUCUGUUUUUGCUACAGUUUGUAAUAUAUUUAGCCAUCUAUUAUUUGUUCCUUGGAAGCUAGAGACAAAAAAGUUCUUGGCCAUGAAUGGGGCCAAGCUUUUGUGAUGAGGAUUUCUCAAUGUGUUUCCAACAACUCUGGCCUGGUGAUGAUCGAGAUGUGACAGGGAUGAAUUUAGGAAAUGGCCACUAAACUUUCCAGCUUCUUGAAGUACAACUUCACCCUCUAUACUUAGCUGUGAAGCUUCAUACAAACUCAUCAACCCCUUGAUGUCUUCCCUUAACAUUUGAUUGAAAUUUCCUUCUCUGUUCUUGAAGUUGUUAAACACAUCUAUAUUCACACGAUAAACACACUAGUUAUCAAAAUAUCGAAAUUGUAUUGAGUCAAUUUACUGGUACCGAAUACCAAUCUAUAUUACUGAAUUAUAGUUAAUACUCACCAUCAGAGACGAAGUAACCAUGCUGCCUGAGUAGUCGAAAGCGGAGAGCGACUUCAUAUAGGUCGGUGGGAUGGUGAGCACCAUGAGCAGUAGUGCUAGAUAUUAUAUGUUGCUUUUGGAGAAUUUGGUCAAUUUCUUCUUCAAAGUGGUAGUCUAGACCUAGCCGUUGAACCGCAUCGAUAAUGUCCAAACUUUCAACUGCUUCUCCUCCCACUUUUUUCAAUGCAUGCCUUAAGUCGUCCAGUUUUUGUUCAUUCUGGAAACAAAUUAUGCCAUCCUGCGGACAAGGAAUUGAAGAGAGUCGAUUUUCAACCAUGUAUGUGCAUGUGUGUGUGUGUGAGAGAGAGAGAGAGAGAGAGAGAGAUGAUUUUUCUUACCUUAGAUGAAGUAUACUUCGUUUUGGAGUCAAGCGGUUUUAAGGGAGUAGAAAGCAAACUGUGAUCUUCGGGGAUGCUCCAUUUUUGAGAACUAAGGUGUUCCGGAGCAACUGGAGUAGAAGACGAGGUCGCAAGGGAGGACUGGGAAAUAGAAAAUUCCAUAUUUCUGUAUGUCUAAUCAACUCCCAGAGUAGUAGAAGGCGAAUAGAGAAAAUAAGAUGUUUUUCGCUCUUCUUGAUCUCUCAAUUUAUAAUCGCCAUGAAAAUCGAUUUUCGCUAUACUUCGAGAGCUAGCACACUUUGCACGUUGAUUUAGAGUUUUUUUAUUUGCGCUUUUGUUUUUUUUGGUUUUUUUUUGGGUUGAAAAAUCAGACGUAGCAAGGGUCCAAGAAAGAAUCAAAUCAAGUGUACAAAACGUGAAAGUCGUGCUAUUCGGGAACUGGAAAGCAGAUUCCUAUUAUUAUGGAACUACUUUUGAUUCCUUAAUACUUAGGUACUGAUCACUAAUAUUUUAUGUACUCAUUUUUUUAUUUGACCUAAUAAAAAAAUAUCACUUGUUUUUUGUUUUUCAAAAUAAAAUAAAAAUAAUAAUGGACAUGGCAUUAUUUUUUAAUCACUAAAACAGUAUACCCAAGUAUUAUCCAAGCAUGUCUCAAACCCUAUAAAGGCAUCAAUAUUGAUGGAAGCCUUCAAACACAUUUUCUAAAUAAAUGAAUAAUGCUCAGAUCUAGAACCUUUUGGUUCGGCAAACUUGUGCGGAUCUCAACUCUAUCUAUCUUUUCUUUAAGUUUUCAGGUAAAAAUUUCCAACAAAACAGAAAGCCUUAAUGUCCUUGUGCAACAUUGCGUAGUUUAUUAUAUACUAUAUACUAUUUAGUGAACUCUUUUGGUUGAAUAUAAUUUAGUGAGUUCGACAGAAGCAAGUCAACAACACCUAAUUAUGACCAAACUAUUGUUUAUUACAUUUUUUUUUGGUCACAUGUCAAUUGUCCUCUUGUAAAAUUAGUAUUGAAAGCAUUUUAUAUUUUGCCAAACAAAUAGAUUCAACAAAUAUUAGAUGGCAAGUGAAGUAAUUUUUGUAUACCAUUUUUUUCAUACAUUCUUUAUUUCAGUUUCUUAAAACAUACAAUGUCUCGUGUUUCAUAUGAGUUCACAUUUGUGUGUGAGACAUUACAUUUUUUUUUCUUUCAUACUUUGUUUCAGGUUUUUUAAACAUACAGUGCCUUGUGUUUCAUAUGAGUUUACAUUUGUGUGUGAGACAUUACAUAUUUUUUAGACGACGUGUUACAUGUGCGAUAUAAUUGAUGUGUCGUGCUACUCUGUUUUCUGACUAUGUUGGUUUGCUUGGUUAUCGCUUCUCAAAUUAAUGUGCAUGUCGGUAUCCAGGUUUGUCUCACUUUCUUCUUCUUUUUUUCUCAUAUCUUUAUGGUGUUGUUUGACUUGUUUUGCAGGUUUAGACCUUUAUGUUUGGCUCUAGAGGGGUUAGGUUUCAUGUCCCCCCCUCUUUUCUUUGUUUCAUUCUCAUUUUUUGUUUCUAUAAGGGUAAGGUUUAUGUCCCCCCUUCUUUCUAGUGUAUUCCUUUUUGUUGUCUCUGUUUUUUGGAGGGGUAAGGUGUAUGUCCCCCCCUGACUAGGUGUAACUUGUUUUUUCGUUAUCAAUAAAAUUACCCUCGUACCGUCGAGGUUUUCCAAAAAAAAAAAGGAUAAUUUUUAAUAGAAAUAUUAGGAAAAUCCAAUUUUAGUUUACUACAUUGUCCCACGUCUCUUCAAUAAAAGUGUGAUCUCGUGGUGUACCCUAGCAUAAAUAUUUUCUUUUGGAACAAACGAUAUUGACUACUUUAAGGGGGAGAGGGGGGAGGUGGGCUUAGCCUCGCAAUGGACUAGCGAUAAUGUGGUUCAAAUUCUCCUUUGGCGAGAAUCGGACCUAAAAUCUCUCAUUUACAAGUGAAGAGAAAAAUCACUAAAUUGCAGUAUUAAUUGGUCUCCUAGCAUAAAUUUUUAAGCAUUAAUGUAAUGCACAUAAAUAUGGUAUCUCUAGCAUCACUCGAUCUCAUUUUUGAUCCACUUGUCGUAAUAGUAAAUGACAUGAUAUAACUUGUAUAACCCAUAUCCAAUUGUGACCGUGGAUAAUACAAGUUUGGUUGAUAAUACUGAAAUCAAGGGAUUUUCCCCAAUGAUUGGGUUAAUAAUGUUGAACAAUGUAAAAAGUCUCAUUUCGAAAACUUGAUAAAAUUAAAUACAACUUGCAUUGAGGUCUUCUGUGAUAAAACUUUAGACUUAUUAGAUUGCAUAAUAGUUAAGUGAAGAUGUGAAAUCCCGUCCCUGGAUUUCACUAUUUAAAAUUAUGUAUUUUGUAUUCUUAGUUCUGAUGCGUUUAUAAUUAUGGCAUGUAGUUUUUUUUUUUAUAAGUAAAAGGAAAAAAACGCCCUUAAUGAACUAAACGGACCAAUCAGGAUGAGAAGAAAUGAGGGAAAUGAGGGAAAAAAGAAGGAGGGAACCCAGACACCCCUUCGACCCACGACCCGACUACCGACUGCCGAUUUUCCAGUGAAUUGCGACGAGGCAACACUUGAGAACCCAUCCACAAUCUCUUAUUUUCCAUUUUCACUUCAAAAUUGAAGGAAUUUGGCCUCGAUUGCUUCUAGAACAUGCCGACGGGCUCCGUGGGGUGCAUAACAACAAUCUACCUUUCCUGCAUGAAUCACCGUCAAACACCACCAUCAAUCAACUCCUCUUGGGCCCAGGAACAAACCCCAAAAAAGUUUGGGGGUGGUGGAGCACCGGAGAAGACAAAUCAAAGUGCACCCAUUUCAGGGGUUUUCGGCAGAUAGAGGCGAUUUCAGGCAUCUUCCCGCCCGAAUUGGACUUCAUCCCAGGUAUGAAAAAUGUUUCCCUCAUUGAGCUCUACAUAUUUGUAAAAUUUGGUAAUUUUUGGAGUUAGGUGAAUUUUCCAAUGAGUCGGGGCGGCGGCGUGUGGCCCAAGGACCCACUUGACCCUUUUAGGCUAAAUUUGAUACACCGAUUCCAUAUGUAACAUCUGAUGGAUGAAAUCCCAUCAUUCGAACAUAGUUUCGUUAGGGUCUGCCUCUUGAUCAUUAUAACCAUCGAUGAUCCGACCGUUGAAUUGUCACCAAACUUUAAUAUAUUAUAGCACGUAAUAUUUAAGGACAUUAGAAACUGAUGGAUCAGGAAUCCGACAUACAGAUCUUGAUGAAUUGAAUUUUUAAGUUUGUAAAACUAAUUGUUAACUGCCACCUAAUUCUAGCAAUUGGCAGAGAUCCAACCGUUGAAUCGUUCCAAAAUUUUAGGAUAUUGUUCUAGAAGAUAAAUGAGACUCUUGAGAAAUUACGGAUCAAAAAUUUGUGAGUGGAUAUUUCGGAUCGAAUUACGUAGGGUUGUGGACCCCAUCAUUAACUGAGAGUUGACUUUGGGUCAACAUGUCUCGAAUCAUUUUAAAUACUAAAAUUAGUACUAUUAGGGACUAAGUGAAGUCUAGUGGGUCUACAUUGGUUAGUGAGUGACUUUAAUAAAUGUGAUAUGGUUAUUACCUUGGUUUCGUAUUUAAUAUCCUUUGUGGAUAUAACUUGGUUUAUUAAAUAUGAUUUCUAUUAAAAUGUAUUUUUAUAUUUGGCCAUCGAUCUGUUGUUAUGAAAUGUGAUUCGUGGAUUGGAAAUAUUUGUGAAAUGUGAUUUGAAAUACAUGUUGAAUUGUUUAUGAAAUGCGAGGGCUAGUAGUGGACCUUUAACCUAUUGUCAUGGGGAUUUGUUUGCUUCGAUAUUGUUUCAUUUACCGCUUUGUUGACCCGUUCUAAAUUUGGUACUUGUGCUUUGUUUCAUUUCAUUAAGCCUUUGUAAAUUGAGUAAAUUGAUUCAUGUUUUGUUUCUUCGAGCUGUUGUUAUGUUUCUUGAACUUCCGCUUGGUUCCGUUGAGUGGUCUGGAAUUGGGUUUCACUGGGGUUCUGUUGAGUGGUUUGGUUCCUUGCUCUGUUUGGAUUUCGUUGAGUGGUCCGGAAUCCCUCGUGCUCCGCGAUUCCGUUGAGUGGUUCAGAAUCGUAUCCUGCUUUGGAUUUCAUUGAGUGGUCCGAUAUCCAUUGUACUCCACAAUUCCGCUGAGUGAUCCGGAAUCGUAUCCACUCGUAUUCCGUUAAGAGGUCCGGAAUCCCUUCUACUCCACAAUUCCAUUGAGUGGUCCAGAAUCGUAUCCUGGUUUGGAUUCUGUUAAGUGGUCCGGAAUCCCACUUGGUAUUUUGGUUCCAUUGAGUGGUCUGAAACCCGAUGUUGUUGGAUUUCGUUGAGUGGUCUGAAAUUACAUUCUUCAUAGAUGUAGGCUUCGACCGAACUAUAUCACUCUAGCCUUCAUUUUGGUGUAUUGGAUGAGUUAAAUUGACGUGAUUGUGGAAUGAUAUUGGAAAUCAUAUGUGUGUGUGUGAAUGGCAAGAUGACAACUCUUGUUUGGCUUAUGGUUGAUGUGUAGUGUGGUACCCUAUGUUUUCUACUAGGAAGUGUUUUAUGAAAAGUUCAGAGUUUAACAAAUGGUGAACUACGAAUGGCUUGGUUCCGUUGGAGGGUACUUAGGCAGUCUAACAAAGAGGUUAGAUGCAGCCAUAGAGUAAACGAAAAAUCACUACACAAUUCGAAGUUUGAGUUGUGCUUUGUCUGUACCCCAAAGGCGAGGUAUGUUAAAUAUAUGGGUAUUUGGUGACGUCACGUGUCGAUCCUGGACGUACGUCGGGAUUAGGGCGUGAGAGAAGACAAUAUCAAUAAUAGUUCACUUAUGUCAUAGGAGUAAUCUUAUACUUGUGUCACAUGGUCAGUGAUAAGUGGACAUGACAAAAAUCAUGUAAAGUGUCACAAAAAUUAAAUUUCGAGUUAAAUGGAAAAAUUUGACACUGAAGAAAAAAAAUAUAUUAAAAUCAAAUUUAAGGAGGCAUAGAAACAAUAGGAAUGUUUUAAUGUCCUUUAAAACUCAGUCAAUACAGUUACACCAUCAUUUAUCAUUUUUCUUUCUUCUUUGUUCCGUAACUUCAUUUCUACUGAGAAAAUGCUCCAUUUUGAUGACUCUUUUUUUUCCAUUCUUUGUGUACUCUCCCUUACGUUUUGUCUAGUUAAAAGAGAUUAUUAAAGAUGGAAGAUCAUUAGCACUUUAGUUAGCAAGUUAUCUAGGGUGGUUGUUCAUUAGCGGAUUCCCCUUGUGUUCAUUAGCUGAAAGGAUAAUAUAUAAGAUGGAUAAUAUAUGAAAGUAUAUAUACACUCAGUCAUGGAGGAAUACUGAAAGUCAAAUUGGAUAUAGAAGAUGAUAAAUUAAGUGAGCUGAACUACACAUAAAUGUAUGAUCAUUGAAUUACAUUUGUAGUCUUACUCUCCUCCAUUAAAGCGAGUAAAAUGAAAUUUCCUAACAGUUUACUUUAAAGUACUAAAGUUCUUGAGCAGCAGCAUAUAAACUGUUUAAUUCGUGACCUUCAUGAAAAAGGAAACGAAGGGUGCGAAGAAAUAUCGUGAUCAAAUAUAUACCACAACUUUGUUAAGUACUACCAAACAUAAAUUUUGACGUUUCACUAUUUAGAACGGUUGGGAAUGACACAUAAUAUUAAUGUAUGUGGUCUUCAGACAUUAUCACGAUGUAUGAGUACGAGACUCAUGUGGAACCUUAACUCUAUGUGGCCACUUAGCCCCACUUCCCACAAAGGCUUUGUGGGAAGAAAUAUUGUGAUCAAAUAUAUACCACAACUUUGUUAAGUACUACCAUACCUAGAUUUGGAACUUUCACUACAAGAAAAAUGGAUAAGGAACACAAUUGAUUUGUUGUUGUAAUAUAAUAUAUGGAUGACCCACAUAAAUAGUUUGUUACUAUUCAUCCAUAGAAAAAUCAGAUGAAUUAUAAUUCAUAUGAAGAAAAACGGAUGGGUUACUGAUAGGGAUUUUACUACACACGUAAACAAGCUAAAAACUCCUAUAAUACUUGCAAGAAUGACAAGGUUAUUGUAGUAUAAACGGAUCUCGCAAGGUCGUUCUCCACAGGGAUUAUUAAGUACUUCGAAGCAAACCAAAUUCCAAUUAAUUAUUGUAAAGUAGAAAUUGAGAUGAUUGAUUUCAUAAACUACUUAAAUUAAAAAAAAAAUUAAAUUAAUACAAGUAAACUAAUUUGCAAUAUUAAAGAUGAAAGAAAAGGAACCAGUUUUGGAGAAAUCAAAUUAAGAAAGCACUAGGGUUCCACCAUCACCUAGCAAUCCUAUGAACUUUUACCAAUUACUUAUGAUCUACACAUGCCACUUUGAAGAUUAGAUUUUCCUAAUUCAUAUUCUACUUGGAACCUCCAACAUAGAACGUAUAUCAAACAUGCAACCCGUCCGGACGUUCGGAUCAAAUCUGAACAUGAAAGACUCAUUAUGUUUUAUGAAAACCCUUUGAAAAACCAAGCAAUCCUUAAGACGUGGUGUUCAUCCUAAGUGAAAUUACAAUUAUUAAUCACAAGAAGUCAUCGUCAAUUUCAGGGAAUCUUCCGACCAAAAUUGCAUCAAAUUACUUUUCUAAAGAUCCUAAUGGUGAUCAGGCAUUAAGACAAUUAGAUAAUUUUAAUCCCGGUGAUUAAUAAUUCAAAGUGUGCAUGCAAUCAAUCAUAAGCAAUUAAAUAAAAAUCACAUAUUCAUGCUAAGGCUCAAGGCUUCGCCCUAGCAAAAGGAAUUAGUUACACAUAUUCAUAAUUAAAAUCAUAGAAAAUAUUAUUAAGAAAAUGAUUGAAAACACCUUAAAGUAGAAAAUCUCCAAGAACCUUAGCAAAGUUCUUUGUCUCUGAAGUUGAAUAAUAAUUAGCGUCGAGAAAAACUGUAGACGGCAAAGCAAUAUAUCUACUAAGCCAUCCACAAACCCUAAAACAUAGGUCUCUUAUUCCAAUUAGGAAACUAAGAAAAAUAAUAAAAUAUCUUAGAAAAUAAAACCCUAAUUAAACUAGGAGAAUCUGCCAAGUACUUAUCUAGCCACGUUUUAGCCUCAUAUCUCCUCCAAAUCCGGCCCAAGAUAACUUGUUUUAAAGAUUAGGAAGUUCUGAACACAUCUCCCAAAGGCCAAGAAACCAUCCGAGGUCAUCUUGGGCUCCAAAAACGCAAUUUAAACCCAUAAACGUCAUUUUUCAGCAGCGCACAUCGCUCCUUUAUUUUAUCGCCAGAAAAUAACCGCUUGGUGGAAAAAUACCAAAUUUUGAUAUGAUCAAGCUAAGUGACUCUAGAACGUCCUCCAAUUGGAAUUACUCCAAAAUUCGUCCAUUUGACCACGUUUUGCUUCAGAUGAAAUCGAAAGUCCUAUAUUAGAAAUACAAUUCAAAGUAUCAAAAUAUUAACCAAAAUAUACUAAGAAUAUGGUUAAAUAUAUAAUAUAAAAUCUACUCAUCAGUUACUACCAAACCUAGAUUUGGAACUUUCACUACAAGAAAAAUGGACAAGGAACACAAUUGAUUUGUUGGUGUAAUAUAAUAUAUGGAUGGUCCACAUAAAUAGUUCGCUGCUAUUCAUCCAAAGAAAAAUCAGAUGAAUUAUUAUUCAUAUGAAGAAAAACGGAUGAGUUACUAUUCAUGCAUAGUAUUUCACUAUUCAUUUGGCGAAAGUUUGUAAAGUGAAUAGUGUUAUAGUAAUUUUUUGCCUAUAAGAUGAGAGCAACCGAAGGAAGGAAGAAGUGAGAAGAAGAAGAAAGAGAUGAGAGAAAAACAUAUAGAGGAAAGAAAGAGGAGUUAUGGAGAAAAAUAAAGAGAAGAGGAAAAAAGAGAGAUGCAGAAGAAAUUACCAGUGAGUUAGGCUAGAGAGAAAAGAGAAAAUAGUGAGAAUUAUUUUGUACUCCUAUUAUUUCAGAUAAUGAAAUAAAAUAUUACUGCUGCCCCGAGAACUUAGACACACUUGCCGAAUCUCGUAAAUAUUAUGUCUUAUUUAUUUUAUUCCACUAUACACAUACUGUCAAUUUUACAACAUUUAUAUCUUUUUUUUAAAUUUUAUUGAACAUUAUACUAUCUCAAAUGUGCCCCUCUGAACAAAAAGUACAUUAGUUAGUGCCCAAAAAGAAAAAAAUGAUGUAUUUGUGCCAAUGAAAAUUUGAGCACAGUAGUUCGCAUCAAUAUUUAAGGCACAAAUAUGCUGUCAAUAGUGCCCUACUCUUUGCGAACAAAAUGCCAUAGUGUGUCCUAUGAUCAAGAAGCACGCCCAUAAAGAGCACAUAAAACAUUUUAGUUGCUACAUUAUUGAUUGCUAUUGACACAAGAGCAAGUCCACCUCUAAGGAUUUUGUGCUAGCACCCAGCGCAUUUAUCCAUUCAAGUGAACAGUAAUAGACCCUAGGGAACAGUAAUAGGCCAAAGCAUCUCCACCCCUAACAAAAAAUAGCCUUGUCCAUUUUAUUAAAAUAUUAUUAUUAUUUAUUAUAAAAUAAUAAUUUUAUUUUUAAUUUCUGAAUUUAUAAAAAAUAAAAUAAUAAUAAUAAUAAUAUCUAAAUUUAUUAAAAAAUUUCUGUAUUUUUUAAAAGUGAAAUUCUUAAUUUUUUGGGAGAAAAAAUGUGGACAGUUGAUCUGUGAUCGGACGGUCAAGUUUAAAAGUAAAAUUUAAUUUUUUUUUUUUACCGUUGGAAAUCCAACGGUCUAGAAUAACUAGCCAUUGGAAAUCCAAUGGCUAUGAGCAUGCCACAUCACUAAUGGGGCUCCGGAGCACAAGUGGGUUGACAGCCCUCUGCAACCUUGUCGCCUACUCGUGGCCACGCGCGAUUGUCGUGCACGCGCCAGCCAAAUAGGCCGGCUUCUUACUCAGUCAAAUUUGGGCUAGCUUGGAGACCAGCUUGGGCUGCGUCCCAGGCAAAAGGGUCGGCUGGAGUGGAUUGACAGGCUCCCAGCCUGAUUUUUAUAUUUUGUGCUAGGCAAAUUCCACUCCGGUGGACUUGCUCUAAGGGCACAUAUGUUAGUGUCCUUAAGCCUCAUGGCACAAAUAACUUUUUUGUGCUGGCCAUAUUUUUUUUUUGUAGUGUUUGAAUAUUUAGUACUGUAGGGAAUGACACAUCAUAUUUAUAUAUCUGGGACAGGGAUUGUUUGCCCUCCUUGUUCUCGUGCCCUCUCAUAUCCUCCUGUUUGUGUGGUCACAGUUAAGUCAUGUCAACAUUUUAUAUUACUAUUCAUUUUUGUCUUAUUAUCUCUAUAAAAAAAAAUAUAAAAUGUUGAUAUGGUUUAACCAUGAUCACACAAAACAGGAGGAUACAGAAACAAAGAGAGCAGAGAAUCCUUGUCCAUUUAUCUGUGAUCUUCAAACAUUAUCAUGAUGCAUGUGUACGAGAAUCACGUGGACCCUAAUUCUAUGUGGCCACUGGCCACUUAGCCCCACUUCGCACACAACCGGAAAAUCGGCAAGACUUUCAACAAAAACGUGUGUGUGUGUGUGUUUUCUUUUAAUUGAAUGGUUAGUGACUACUUAUCGUACGAAGAAUAGCAACCCUAAACCUUAACUUUCUCACGUGGACCCUAAUUCUAUGUAGCCACUUAGCCCCACUUCUGACACACCCAGAAAAUCGGCAAGACUUUCAACAAAAACGAGUGGUUAGUGACUUUCAUCGUGUUUUUUCUUUUCUUAAUUGAAUGGUUAGUGACUACUUAUCGUACGAAGAACAACAACCCUAAACCUUAACUUUGUGAACCUUUCAUUGUUUUUGUUAGACAUUGAUGAUUAUGAGCCCCGUGAGUGAAAGCUACAUUGAUAUCCCAUUCCAUGCAUCUUCCUUUUUCACAUUCGUACGUAGUACUUGCAGACUUUUCAUCACCAUACAGCUCUAUAAAACAUCACCAGAAAAUUAAACAAAAUUAUAAAAGUGAUUAGAGAAACUAAACUUUACAAGUUAUAUGUGAACUAUUUAAUAUAAAUAAAGCUCACCAAUAUAAGUAGAUCCUACCUGAUCUACACGUUGUCUAUAAAAUAGAGUAUUCCAAGCAUUUUUUUAAAUUUAAGCUAAAUUUGUGCUUGGGUUUCUGUUGUAUCCAUUUGGCUAGCCAUUUGUCGUAUUCCAAAAAUUAAAUCCCUCCAAGGAAAUCCGGCCGCAGGUGUAGGAGGUGGAUCCGACCCACCAUCGCGGGUCUAGUCGCACUAGAGGGUAUAGCCCGGGUAUGAGACGGAAACCCAUGAAAUCAUGGGUUGUUGCUUGCAAAAUGGUGGGGAGGAAAGGAAAAUAUGGGCGCCGUCUGUUUACGCCAGAGAGAGGGAGAGGGAAAAGGUAAAAAGUAAAAAAGGAAAUAUGAGCACCAUCACAUUAUGUGGUGUACUAAGACCACCUUCAAACCCGGGCUAAAUGCCAAAUGUUUAUCGGAAUUUAAAUCUUUUUAGAUUAAAAUGUUCAUAAAAUUAAUUUACAAUAAUCUACAUAUUUAUUUUUUUAAAAUUGAUUUAAGAAAAAAAUUAGUCUAAGUUCAUUCUUUAAUAAUUCCGAGCUAAGAUUUUAGGGCAGAAGAGUUGGAGCAGAAAAGAUGUUUUUGGGCUAAAAGCUAAAUUUUCCGGGCUAAAAAAUUUGGCUUUUAGCCCAAGAGUUAGAGAUGGUCUAAUGUACUACAACAAACAAAUAAUUUAUGUAUGUACAAUUCAAAGAAUCAAGUAAUUAAUGGUCCCUCGUUAAAAAAAAAAAAAGGAAGGACAAUAUUAGAGAGAUUAAAUUUAUAAAUCAAAUGAUGUGUCAUCAAUAGAAAAUAAGCAAGUUAAUUGACACUUAACAAUAAUCCAAUAAUAAGUCUUCACAUCAUUUGAUUUACAAAACUUAAUUUAAAAUUUUGAUCUCGCUAUCAUUAAAUUAAAAAAAAAAUACUAAAAGUUGGGGUCACUGCAUGAUCGAGCCGGUUAAUUGUACGUUGAGAGUUUGAAUUUAUUCAUUAUCAACUUGCUUUUUCAUUGACAAAUCACAUCCUAACAUGAUAAUGACUUUGCUCAAAUCAUGGCCAUUCAACAACUAAGAUAUUUUCGGAUCGAAUAGGGAUCCUCUUUGAAUUUUUUUUAUGAGAAUUCUAGAGAUCCUUUAAUUACAUUCGUUCAUCACACAUCGUACGAUCAAUUUUGAUCAAGUAUUGUUUAUAUUUAAUUUUAAAUAAAAAAAUUUACAAUAAUUUCUGACCACACGAUAUACGAUAAACGAAUAUGAUUGAAAAUCGAUAGAAUCCUCAAAAAUAGAAUCCGAAGAAGAUCCUCAUUCUUUUGGAAUCGUGAAAAAAACGAGGAUACUUUAUUUUUCUUGAUCUAACCUUUUCUCUCUUCCGGUCCGGAUCUGGUAGCAAUUUGCAUGCUUUGUACUUAUGUUCUAGUUUUUUUUUUUUUUCCUUCUUUAUUCAACUGAUCAAUUAUUAUAACCAUGAUUAUGAUUACUUAACACUGUUACAAUGUCCACCUUCUUAUUUCUUACCCCCCCCUUCUAUAUUUACACCCCCAAUUAAAAGUAAAAAGAGAGCAAAGUUAUCUCCACACUUACCAUUAUUCCUUAAAUAGCCUAAACAGUCCAAUAUUGUUUUUUCCUUGAAUCCAACCAGUAAUCCCUUCGUUAACCCUACAAGAAAAAUGGGCUAAGAACACAAUUGAUUGGUGCCCUUCUCAUUUUCAUUGAGCACAAAUAUAUAUUUGUGCUUUUUAAAUUCCAUUGAGCACCAAAAUACCUCAAAUGUGCCCUCUAACAUAAAGGCACAUUAGUUUGUGUCGGGUAUUUGUGCCUACUAAAAUUUGAACACCAAACUUUGUGUCCAGCUUGCUUGUCAGGGAUGAAAUUUUUUUUUUAUUAAUUUACACAAACACAAUAAAGGCUUUUGUGCCCUCUAUUUUAAUAUGUUUAAAUAAAAAAAUUAUAUUUUCGUGUCUUUUACAUUUAAUAUUUCCUAUUCCCAACUAUUUUUUUCUUGUUUACAAUUUGUGAAAAUAUCUAGUUGCAAUCAAUUUGAAUUAUUAAUGGUGAUAAAUAUUAUAUUCUAUUUAAAUAAUACUUAUCGUAAUGAACGCGUGGUUACAAACUGAUGUGAAUUCGGAAUUAGAACGAGUAAGUUACGAAUUUUUAAAAUUAGAAGGCAAAAUGGUAAAAUUUUGGGAAGGAGUAUUCUAGAAGCCAAAGCUUCUCCCAUUUUACUUUCCCGACAAGCACAUGUAGCAGGGACCCACCCACGUGGGUCUUCACCCUUCCCACCUAAUUAUAUAUAUAUAUAAUAGUAUUAAAUUAUUAUUUUAUUAAUUUUAUGAUGGAUUUUUGUGCUCCUCCAUCUUUUUUCUAUCCCGGCACAAAUGCAACAAGGACCCACCCACGUGGGUCUUCACCCUUCCCCAUGCUUCUACUCCUCUCUGCACUGCAUCACUCUUCUGUCUCCCUCCUUCACGCAACCCUUUCUCUCACUUUCUCACUUUACUUCUUCAUAAUUUUCUCUGUGAUCUCCUUCACCAUCUCUGUGCUCACUGCACAGAAAACCUCAGCAUCCAUCUCCAUCUAACUAGCCACUCCGGCGAACCUUGCCACCACCCAAACACUACAUGCCACCCUCGCUCUCUCACAAUCUUUUUGUCUCUCCCUCUCGGCUUCUUCCUUGACACAGAGAAGCACAUAAGCAAUGACGGCGGCGGAGCUGGCGAUCUCCGGCGAGGCAACCACCAGCGUCACCUUCCUCUCCUCUCUGCAGACUCCCCUUUACCUUUUGCUUUCUGAAAAUCGAAACCGACGCGAUGAAAUGACAAGGUCCGUCGCGGCUUGACUCCUUGGCGAGAUUUUCCGUCGAAUUCAGUAUGGGUGAGUCUUGAAAACACCUUAGUUAGGUUCUUUAAGUUGUUUAGAGACGCUUUCGUGCACUGCAUGCCUGAUUUGGUUAAGUUUGGAUGCAGUUUCAACUUAGGGGACAAAUUCCCCUGAUUUCCAGCGAGGGCUAUGAUUUUAGGCUAUCACCGGCCACUCAAUGGCCUUGAAGUAGGUAAAUUUCGAAUACUUACCUUUGUAGCUUUGUUUUAGCUUUUGAAUUGUUGAAAAUGGUUGUGUUUUGGACCAAAACGGACUCUGAAACCCCUGGCGUGGCUGCAGGUCGCACUGUCGCUGUGCGUGGAGCUGUUGUGGAUGGCGCGUGGAGCACAGGCGCCUCCACCGGAAGGAUGAUUGCCUGAAAGGAUGAAUAUACGUUUUCAAAUGUUUGUUUUAGAUUGUAGGGUAUUUCGAAUUUGUUAUUUUUUAAAAAAAAAAAUUAAUUGAUAAGGCACAAUUACAAAAAUUGUGCUAACAUGAAUCUGAAAUGGCAUCUGACACAGGUGUCAGAACAGGACACAAAAAAAACCUUAUUUGUGCUCAAUGUUUGAGCACACAUGGCUGUAUCGUGCCCUCUAAUCAAUGGUGACGCCCAUAGAGGGCACAGACCCAAAGAUAGUAGCUGCAUUGUUGCUAUUGGUCUAUGGGCACAAUUGUUGGUGCUUUUUGAUCUCAAAGGGCACAUAUAAUUUAUUAUGCGCAGUGCUCAUUUUUUUUGUAGUGUAAACUCAAUAUUGAAGAAUUUAUUGGUAAGUUCAUCGCUUCUCAAUUUCGCAACCUUUUAAAUCAAUAAACUAAGCCUUCUAGCAUCUAAUUAAAACAAACAAACAAAACCAGAUACAAUUAAUCUUUUGCUCUUUGAAGACCAACUUUAGUAAGCUUUUUUAUGGUUCAUUAAACUCUUAUCUAAUUUUGUCGACCAAAUCACAAAACCCAUCUAAAGAAUACCUAAAUUGGUAUCCGUGCUAUUGCCGACAAAUCCAAAGUUUUAAAGGAAAACUAAUGAAAAAGGCUUGAAAACUUUGAGUUUUAAUGAUAAGGACAAAAUAAAGGGUAAAGUGAAUAGUACCAGGUUUGACUUUUUAGUGUAAAAAUGUGGUUUUUCGUUAAAGUGAACAGUACCUUGGGCUUUUCGUUAAAACUCCCAUAAUAAUUUGUUACAUGUUUCCCACUAUUUGCGUUUAUGCCAUAAAUCGAUUCUUAAAUUCAAGAAUUGCAUAAUAUAUUUGCUCAAUCGAAUUUCUCUUCAAUAUUAAUUGUGAUGUGAGUUUCAAACACCUAAAUGAAGCAGCAACUUAAAUCUUGGGUCUUUUGCUUGAUUUUGAGUUGGGUUGUGAGGAUCGGUGGUGCAUUGGAUAGAGAGAGACGCGGAGUUGCCUACAUCACUCUAGUCCCCAAAAAAAACACGUUCUUUAUAUUUUCUUAUGUCUCCUUCUAAGAAAUUUUGCAAUAAGGUAAGCUUGUCAUUAAAACUUUCAUUAAAAUGUGUGGAAUAAUAGACAAUGAGUGGCGGGACUGAGAUCCUCGCAGAAUGUCUUUUCUGCGGGUUUGAUAGACCCUUAAAUCUUUCUAUCUCUGUUCACUGCCUCCAUCUCCAACCUUCUCUUGGAUUUUGUUAUCAUUAAUUUUAUGGAGUUCUUAAUAGGAAAAAAAAAAUGUAAAUAUAGUUCUUGGGUUUUAAAAUUUUUUUUUUCUUUCAGAACCUAGACAUGAAGAGGCGGGGAAAAAAUCUAAUAGCGUAUCGGUAGCACAUUGCAAUCAAAGGGGAAAAAAUAAAGAGAUUAGAAAGAAAAACAGUGAGUUAUGAGUCUUGAUUACUAGUAUCCAUGGCGUAACAAAAAAAUCUAAUAGCGUAUCGGUAGCACAUUGCAAUCAAAGGGGAAAAAAUAAAGAGAUUAGAAAGAAAAACAGUGAGUUAUGAGUCUUGAUUACUAGUAUCCAUGGCGACGGUGUUACGAAUAGAGAGAGAGAGAGAGAGGAUAAAAUGGGACGGAAGAAAGAAACUAGAAGGGAGUGAGGUUAUUAACUACAUUGAGAAAGAAUCAAAGAACAAUAUGGAAUGUAAGAAAAUGAAAAACUUGAGAGAGAGAGAGAGAGAGAGAGAGAGAGAGAGAGAGAGAGAGAGAGAGAGAGAGAGAGAGAGAGAGAGAGAGAGAGAGAGAGAGAGAGAGUAAAUUGUAUGAAGUGUAUUUCAGACUUAAUGAAAUGGAUCAUCACAAUUACAGAAUUUUUGUACACACAUACAUCUAGCUUAAAGCUUCAUUCUUACACUUCUAACGACUAACUAAUCUUUUUAACAACUUAAUUAACAACUUUAGUAUGACAUGACAGCCUCAUUAACUAACCAAUGUUGAGCUGUCAUUUAUUAACACUCAACAAAGGCAACCUUGUUUCGUGUAAAAAAUAAAUAAAAAAUUUCUGGUUGUUUGAUCUGUGUGAACGGCCAAGAUUCAAGGAUCUGUCAUAUCCUCAUAAUUAAAGAGACGUGGAGAUGAUCCGGGUCUGGGGUGGGCAUAAUUAUGAUUAUUUGGUUUAUAAAUAAAAAAAAAAGAGUUAAUUUGACGGAUUUGGAUCCUCUCUGGAUCCAAAGGAUUUGAGCUUGAAUUUAUUCAUUAUCAACUUGCUUUUUCAUUGAUAAAUAAAAUAAAAGUUAUAAUAAUUGUAGUCGUUUGAUCAAAUUGGGAUUUGGAUCCUCUUCGGAUCCAAAGGAUCUGAGCUUGCAGAUCAAGUGAUAUGGGCCGUCCAAAUUUGAUCAAACGACUACAAUUAUUAUAACUUUUAGAGGGGCCCCCUGUUUGUAGCCGUUUGAUCAAAUUUUGACGGCCCAAAUCACUUGAUCCGCAAGCUCAGAUCAAGUGGAUCUGAAGAGGAUCCAAAUCCCAAUUUGACCACCUUUGAACUUUCCAAGUCAUCCCCUAGCCGUAGAAUGGUUGCCACCAAAAUAUUUCGCCUAAAGUAGUGUUGCACAUGUUGAAUAUUUGUUGGAUCGAAAAUAAUGCCUCUAGAAUUUCAUACAAUUUUUUUUUUUGUUGAACGAUGUUAUUUUCUCUAAGGGAAAGGGGAUAGGCUUAAUCUCACAAUGAACUAGCAAGAAUGUGGUUCAAAUUCGCAUUUGACGAGGAUCAAACCUAAGACCUUUCACUUACAAGUGAAAAAAAAUACCACUAAACUGUAGUACUAAAUAGCUAAAUUAAAAAAUAUAUUAAAAAAAAACCCUCAAUUGCAGCCAAUGUGUCAUAAAAGUAGUUUUACAAUUACUUUAGUUAAAAUAAGGUUUUCAAUUGCAUUGUUCAAAUGAACAGUUACUUGACGUGGAUUUUGAGCUAUUUACAAAAUUGCCACCACCUCUUCAGUUUCAGAUUGGAAAUUUUGGUUAUUUACGAAAUUGCCAACCCUUCAACUGUGCACGUAUCGACCAUCGUAGAAAGGGUGGGGUUGGAAACACACUUCGUUUCCGCUUGCUUCCUGAAACCCGAAGCCCCAAUUGCAUCCUUAGGAGAGUUGGGGAACGGGUGUCCAUUGCAGAGAGAUGAUGGUACUAGCUGAACAAAGUUUCUCUCUCAUCCCUAAUAUGUGCAUGUCAGAUCUUUGUCCUAAAUCCUGCCCCAAUAACACUUUAGAGGUAAAGUUCAACCUUCGUCCCGUUUAGUUCUUGUCCAGAGCGCAGAUUAGAUAGAGAUGAAUCAGAAAUGUCUCAUGUGUUGAUGCACAAAACCGGAGGUCUUGGAACAACGUAAAUCCGACCAUGAAUCUGUAAGAAAGUAAAUAACACAAGAUGUAUCGUGGUUCACCCCAAUGUUUGGACUACGUCCACACUGAUAUUGUAUUUCUCUAAGAGGAUUGAGGAUGAGAUGGUGAAAGUUUCUGAGGGUGAGAGAGCUCUUCCCAUAGCCUAAGAAUUGGCCUCCCCUAAUGAAGAGAGUGAGGGGUCAUUUUAUAGAAUAAGGGCUCCCCACUUAUUACAUAUUUGCCCAUUCGUUUAUUACAUAAUUACAUAUGAGUCCCCCGAGUAUUUAUACGAGAUCUAAAUACGGAGGCCCUAAGUUUGGUACAAAUAGUAGUCCCCCAAGUCUUCAGUCAAAAGAGUCUUUUGGUUAGAGACUUGAAAUUCAGUCCAUGUGUGGGCCGAAGUAACUAGAUGUUGUCUUGAACUGAUGCUCGAUAUGAGGCGGUGCUCAAUCUGAAGUGAUGCUCAACUAGAAGUGGCACAUGUUGCGAGGCUGCUCGGUUUGUGGCUUAUUUUUCUUUGGUUGGCUCGGCUUGUGGUGUUGAAGGUGAGGGAGUCCAUUUUAUAGAAUAAAGGAUCGCUCCUUAAUACAUAAGUGAUGGGCUAAGAGUGAUGCUCGCGGCGAGGCAGUUGCUCAGCUGGCGGCGAUGCUCUUUAAUGAAGGUGAGGGAGUCUCUUUUAUAAAAUAAGGGCUCGUUCCUCGGUACAUGAAUAAUGGGUUAGGAGUGAUGCUCGCAGCGAGGAGGUUGCUCAGCUGGCAGCAAUGCUCUCUAAUGAAGGUGAGGGAGUCCCUUUUAUAAAAUAAGGGCUCGCUCCUCAGUACAUGAAUAAUGGAUGCUCUCUAAUGAAAGUGAGGGAGUCCAUUUUAUAUAAUAAGGGUUCGCUCCUCAAUACAUAAAUAAUGGACUAAGUCCCCCAAGUAUUUUUCAUGAGGCCCAGUUAAGGAAGCCCAAUAUAUGGUACAUAGUGUAGUCCCCCAAGUCUUCAGUCAAUAGAGUUUGUUGGCUAGAAACUUCAAAUUGAAUCCAUGUAUGGGCCGAAGUGGUGGUUGUUCGGAAGCGGUAUUUGUAUACCAUGCACUGAAGCUUUGUAGGUGAAGCUUUUAAAGUGAAGCUUUGAAGCUGGAGCUCUGUAAAUGAAGCUUUGAAGCUGGAACUCUGUAAAUGAAGCUUUCGAAGCUGAUUGACAUGAGUGAUACUCAUGAAUGUUUAUGUUGAUUGACAUGAGUGAUGCUUAUGGAUGUUGACAUGAGUGAUGCUCAUGAAUGUUGACAUGAGUGAUGCUCAUGAAUGUUGACAUGAAUGUUUAUGUAUGAUUGACAUGAGUGAUGCUCAUGAAUGUUUAUGUAUGAUUGACAUGAGUGAUGCUCAUGUAUAAUUUUGGAGUACUGGACGUACUUUUGAUCACCUGGUUUGUGAUAAUAGCGGCAGGGUGCCGAAUAAUUUUGGAGUACUGGGCAUACUUUUGAUCACCUGGUUAAUGAUAAUAGCGGUAGGGUGCCGAAUAAUUUUGGAGUACUAUGCGUACUUUUGAUCACCUGGUUGGUGAUAAUGGCGGCAGACUGCCGAAUAAUUUUUUGGAGUACUGGGCGUACUUUUGAUCACCUGGUUGGUGAUAAUAGCGAGUCUGGCUCUUUUGGGCAUAUGGGCCUUCGCCCUCCACAUAACAUUCCAGCCCAUUAUUUUGGGCUUGCCGUUUUUUUUUAAUUACCCUCUGAUGGGGUUUAUACAGAUGUCUCCGAAAGAUAAGAAAAAUAAAUCCGACCCUCUGCUCAAUGGGUCACGCCCAUAAUUCUCUUUUCUGCAUGCCAUCACCACGACAAUUAUGUCUGCUUCUUUUUAUCUUCUUUUGCCUUCUGCUUUUGCUUUUGCUUUUGCUUUUACUUUCUCUUUUCACUUUCUCAGAAAAUGAUUUCACAUGGUUUUCUCCUUUUGCUUUCUCAGAAAUCAGAAAAUGAUUUCACAUGCCUGAAACCGCGAGCACAUGGCUUUCUCCUUUUGCUUUCUCAGAAAAUGAUUUCACAUGGCUUUCUCCUUUUGCUUUCUCAGAAAAUGAUUUGCUACCACCCUGUAAAGAAGAUGCAGGGAAUGAGUCACGACUAAGCACUUCUGGUUGGUACUGCAACCCAUAGAACCUCCUGGCCAGGCUCUCAAUUGCAGCCACCGAUGCAGCAAAAUAGGGCAGCAAUGAAUUGAUAGGUGACAAAGCGUUGCUGGUAGCCCUUUUUUUAGCAAAUAUUGGAGCUUAUCAUACUUCAUGAUGACCAAUUUUUGAAGCAAUGAGAGAUUUCCGAGCACCUCCGAUAUGGAUCCAAGAUCUGGAAGUCUUUGGAUGAUGAAGGAUGUUAUAUUGUUGGGAAGAAGGUACUCUUUUGGGAAGGAUACAAGGUCAGGAAACCCACCGACAGUGAGAUCAUGAAGAGAGUGGAGUUUGUGAAGCCUCCAUUCAUCUCAAACUCUCUUGCUUUUCCAAACUUCUUCUUCCCCUCUCUCUCUUUCACUAUCUUUAAUUUUCUACCAUUAGCAGCCUCUGAAAAGAAAGGGAAACCGUGGCAAGAAAAAGUCAAUAAUACUGAGAAAACAUAAGAAAGCCACCAAAAGCUGACAAGAGAAAAAGUCAAGAAUACAGCCCAUAAUACUGAGAAAACAUAAGAAAACACCAGAGUUCAUCUUCCCAUCGCCGUGGCCGACUUGCUCUUUUCUUCUUUUGUUUUUUUUUUCUUUUUGCUUUCUCUUUUCUGCUUUUUUUUCUUUUUUUCUUUUUGCUUUCUCUUUUCUGCUCAGUGCUCCCUCUGUUUGAACUUUGCACUUUACACUUUGCCGUUUUCAGCGUUUUCUGACCAAUCAGAGCUCGCCACCACGGGGGUUUGCACAGCCUUGACGAGCACAACCUUGACACACAGAGCAACACUAGGAGGUGAAACAAGUCCUAAAAGAGCUCAAACGAGGAUAAUCCAAUGGCGGAUAAGUCGUCGUGAAGAUGGGAACUCGGAACAGUUGUAACCGCCAUCACCGAGUUGAAUCGUUGGGACAGAGUGAGCUGAGUUCAUAAGCAAGAGAGAGAGAGCCGAGUUGGAGCUCACUACGAACUCGUCAAGGGAGUUCAGGGCCGAGUUGGAGUCGGGUCGGGUUGAGGGGCUGACAGGAGAGUGGUGUCGGGAGUGCGAUUUGAUGAAACCCCAGGAAAAUGAAAAGUGAAAGUAGAGCAUGAAUGUAUCUAGCCAGAUCUUAUGUCCUCAGCUCUUCAUGGUUGUAAAUCUCUCCAUUCAUCGUGACAACGAUUGACUUGUCCUCGUUGUAGAGAGGUUGAUCACUAGAGGCAGGGUCAAUGAUGGCCAACUUCUGAUGAGCCAAAAAAACAAUCUCCAUGCUGGUACAGCCCACUCCAGUUAGGUCCACGAUGCUUCAAUCUGCGCGAAAGCUCAAGAAUCGGACCCUCUUGACGAGAUUUUUCUUGCGGUGUUGGGCAAACACGUUACAAAAAAUACCGAUAUUUCAGACGGAUCCCUUAGAUGCUCGAUGCAGCCUCUUCUCUGGUGGGCUUAGGCUCUCUUGAGGGCUUGUGUUCCCUUUAAUGUAGUCUGUUGCCUUCACCUUUGGAAAAAUGCAAAAAAUGUGCUUCUGCUUUGCCUCUGAAACAAAGAGGCAUAAUAGAAUGCUAACCAUCCUUUGGUCUUGAUUUCAUGCUGAAUGGUGGAACCAAGAAUCAAUAAAAGCCUUGUCCAGAUUUGCUGUUGGAAGAGUGACACUCAUCACCCUGUAGAUGAGCCAAUGCACCCGCCGCCGAGACGCAAAACAGAUAAGAGAAUAAAGGAGUGUUGAGGUGGUGUAUGGCUCAAACCCACACAUUAUUUUUCUUCUCUCUCCUGGUCCUCACAGAAAUCAGAAAAUGAAAGUUGGCGUAGUACUCACUAAAUGAAAGCUGACAAAAAUCAGAAAAUGAAAGCUGGCGCAGAUUCACGGCAGAGGUGAAAAAAUGAAAGAGAACCGACACAACUUUUCAUAUCGAUUCCCACAGACAGCGCCAAAUGUUGAUGCACAAAACCGGAGGUCUUGGAACAACAUAAAUUCGACCGUGAAUCUGCAAGAAAGUAAAUAACACAAGAUGUAUCAUGGUUCACCCCAAUGUUUGGGCUACAUCCACACUGAUAUUGUAUUUCUCUAAGAGGAUUGAGGAUGAGAGGGUGAGAGCUUCUGAGGGUGAGAGAGCUCUUCCCAUGGCCUAAGAAUUGGCCUCCCCUAAUGAGGAGAGUGAGGGGUCCUUUAAUAGAAUAAGGGCUCCUCACUUAUUACAUAUUUGCCCAUUCGUUUAUUACAUAAUUACAUUUGAGUCCUCCGAGUAUUUAUACGAGAUCUAAAUACGGAGGCCCUAAGUAUGGUACAAACAUCAUGCAUGUUUGUUCUCUGUGUAAGGUACCUCGAUUGAUGACGAUGAUAUCAAAGAGCAGCUCAAAUCACAAAUUCAAAGGCUGAAAAUUGUGCAGAUACCACAUGAUUCUCAUAUAUCCAAAAGGUAAGGUAAAAAUCUGACACAUCCGAAAAUGAUUUGACAAGUAAAAUCUUAUUUAUUAGGUUGUCUUCUCCCCAAUUUUAAAGGAUUAGGAUUCUCUCAUCUCAUCUUUCCAUCUCCUUCUAUCUCAUCCCUCUCACAUUCUUUUAUUUUGUCUUUCUCUUGCUAUAAAAAAAUUAAUAUAAGAUGUUGACGUGUCUUAAUCGUGACCCUUCAAUUAGGAGGUAAGGAAAGCUGAGGGAAAAAAAAAGGGAGAGAAUCCUACUCCCAAGUAAUAAUUAGUUCUAUCUUCCCUCCCCCUUCUAUCCUAUUCAUUAAAGAAAAAGACUAUUUACCCUAUGCGAUUUAGCCUCCGUACUUCUUACUCAAGAAAAGAAAAAGAAUUUUCUUUUAGUUCACAAUUAAAUCCCUAUCUCUACAAUUCCUUACUUUUCAUUGUAAUUUUCCAAUGAAUGCAACCUUCGAUAUGUUCUUAAUCGCCUUAUUUACUUAUUCUUGGUUUAUUUAGCAUGUUAAUUAUUUAUAUGGUCAUGAAGUUAUCAGUUAGGGUUAUGAUUUUAAGAAUUGUUUAUAUUUUAUUGUCAUUUUUUUUAUUGAUUAAAAAAUAAACAUAUGAUUUUAUAGUACUAAUUUCAACUAGCCCACCCAAAAAAAAAAAAUCCUAACUCUGCUAUUGGUUAAGUUGUGAGGAUCGGUGGUGCAUCAGAGAGAGACAGAGAGACGCAGAGCUACCUACGUCACUCCAGUCCCAAAAAAAAACACUUUCUUUAUAUUUUAUUAUGUCUCCUUCUAUGAAAUUUUGCAAUAAGGUAAGCUUGUCAUUAAAACUUUCAUUAUAAAGGAAAAGGAUCCGGCAACCGUUCAUAGUACAUUGGGCGGUCAAUUUUCGUUAUAUAUUAUUUAUAUUUAUUUUAAAUGUUAAAAUGAUUUUUGACCGCACAAUAUACGAUAAACGGUCAUAAUCAUAGGAUCCCUAAGAUCUCGCUGGAUCCUUUUCCUAUUAUAAAGUGGGUGGAAUAAUAGACAAUAAGUGGCGGGACUGAGUCUGAGAUCCUCGCAGGAUCUCUUUUCUACGGUUUGACAGACCCUUAAAUCCUGCUCGUUCACACAAAUCAAACGACCAUAAAUAAAUCACAAAAACGACGCAGUACCACCAUUUUCUUCUAUUCACUUAUGCUCUCUCCUCUUUCUAUUUCUGUUCACAGCCUCCAUCUCCAACCUUCUUCCUGGAUUUUGUUAUCAUUAAUUCCAUGGAGUUCUUAAUAGGAAAAAAAAUGCAAAAAUAGUUCUUGGUUUUUUUUAUAAAUUUUUUUUCAGAACCUAGACAUGAAGAGAGGCAGGGAAAAUUUCUAAUAGCAUAUCGGUGGAAAAUUGCAAUCAAAGGGGAAAAAUAAAGAGAUUAGAAAGAAAAACAGUGAAUUAUGAGUCUUGAUUACUGAUGUCCAUGGCGAUGGUGCUAUGAAUAGAGAGAGAGAGAGAGAGAGAGAGAGAGAGAGAGAGAGAGAGAGAGAGAGAGAGAGAGAGAGAGAGAGAGAGAGAGAGAGUGAAGAUAAAACGGAACGGAAGGUAGAAACUAGAAAGGGGUGGUUUACCCAAAAAAAAUAAAAAACUAGAAAGGGGUGAGGCUAUUAACUACAUUGAGAAAGAAUCAAAGAGCAAUAAGAAAUGUAGGAAAAUGGAGUACUAGAGAGAGAAACAAUUGAGAGAGAGAGAGAGAGAGAGAGAGAGAGAGAGAGAGUACACUGUAUAAAGUGUAUUUAAGACUUAAUGAAAUGGAUCAUCAAAAUUACAGAGUUUUUGUACACACAUAUAUCUAGAUUAAAGAUUCAUUCUUACACUUCUAAGUGACUAACUAAUUUUUUUAACAAUCUAACAGCUUUAGUAUGACAUGGCAGUCUCACUAACUAAUUAAUGUUGAGCUGUCACGACACUCAACAGAGGCAAUCUCGUUUGGUGUGAAUUUUUUUUUAAUUUUAUUUAUGGUCGUUUGAUAUGUGUGAACGAUCAAGAUUCAAGAAUCCGUCGGAUCCGCAUAAUUAAAGAGACCUGGAGAUGAUCUGAGUCCGGGGUGGGCAUAUUAUGAUUAUUUUAUUUAUAAAAAAAAUUCAUUUAAUUUGACUACCUUUGAACUUUCUAAGUUGGGAACUUGCCGAAGAAUGGUUGCCGCCAUAAUAUUUCGCUAAGGUAGUGUUGCACAUGCUGAAUAUUUGUUGCUGCAAGUUUGUAAUUUUAUUUGCUACUUGAUGCAAAGGAUUGUGACUCAAGUGAACAAAUUCAGAGUUUUACGGAUAUAAUUUGGUUCUUUUUAAUACAUAAUAUUACAAAGGCCUAGAAAUUUUUCUUGAAGGAAUAUGGUAACAUGUUUUCCACAUCUUGGCCUGCAAUUUAUGUGAAGGGGUAUUAGUGUGUGUUAUUUGCUUUGGUAAGAUGUGUGUUAUCUGCAUUGGUGUUGGUAAGAUAUGUGUUAUCUGCAUUGGUGCAUUUGAGGGUGUGAUUCACUUCCUACCUCUUUUUUAGUGCAUAUUUUUGUGCAAAUUAUUCUUGCCUAUUAUGACUAAUACAUUCAAUUCCCGCAACGAAGCAUGCGCGAGUUUUCUAAUGAUUUCUAAAGUUGUUCACAUCAAUAAUUAAAAACUGUGAGUGUCAACUUACUUUUCUUCCUUUCCAAAAAGUGGACUGUCUUUUUAUGAAAUCUUAAUUGCACAAUUUUAUGAUAAAAAAUGUAUGAGAAUUAUAAACUUCUAUUCUUUAUUUCGGAUUUGGAUCCUCUUGAUCAAUCAUUGUGGGCCGUUGGAUAAAAAUCCAACGGCUAUAAUUAUAAUAACUUUAAAAGGACUUCUCUGUUUGUAGCCGUUGGAUAAAAAUCCAACGGCCCACGAUGACUGGUCAGGAGGAUCCUCUCCAUUAGCCCAGGAGAGGAUCCAAAUCCCUUUAUUUCAUCGGAGGACAACCAAAUAAGGUAAAACACACUAUCUCCCAAAACUAACAAGGAGAGCAAGAACAAAGGCGCUCCUGAAUCCAAACUAUAAUUUGAGCAUUGCGAUUAAACAAACUUGGCAUAUGGUCUCUGGCGGCCUUUUGCCUUCUCAAGAUUGAUCAAUCUAUGCUUGGCUGCGCUGGUUACUUAAGUCUUGUGCAAGAAAACUAUCAGAAAGCAGUGACUUCAUAUUCUCCACAAGGCUUGGAAGGCUAUGUUGAGAAUUAUAAUCAUACAUCAAUGGGACCAUUCUAGCAACAUUAAGAGCAAGUUUUAUAAAGGAUGCUGAAAAUGGAUUUGAUGCAGACAAACAUUCUUGGUUGAGGAACUUCCAUUCUUCCGAAAUCCUAUGGACAACGAAUGCUCGUGCAUCUUCCUCUGAACAACCUUGAUUUUCAUUCAUGUAACACUCUAUGUAUGAACUAUCAUUUCCAUCUUGGUCCUCAUCCUGCAAUUAAUCCAGAAAAUAUCCUUACAAUACUAUAUUUUUAUAAACAAGUGCUAAAUGUAACUCAAACUAACCAUAUCAAAAUACAAGUACGAAACUUGGCACUUCCAGAGUCAUCCCAUAGCCGAAGAAUUUUUUCGGUUGAAGAUAUAAUGCUAGAUAUGUUGAUGUUGUCCAGAAUACGUACAGUUUCCUUGCUUAUACCUUGACCCAGUAAGAAGAAUGCAUGUGUUAGAACCACAUGCACCCCUGAACUGAUGAACCCGUUGUUCAAGUACUCUUCACUUUUUGGCAAGUGCCUGCAACUAAACCAUCGUGCUUCUAGUUGUUUGGAUCAAAACUUGAACUUUGGGCUCAAGAAAUGAGCUGGCCCAAAAUGAGGCCCGAAGGGAAAGACAGCCGAAGCCCAGUUAAAGCCCAUAAGGCAGAAAGGGCCUUUUCUGACUUGGUGCAGCUUAUGAAGACCACUUGCUUACCUACCCAAAAGCCAAGUGGUGUAGACUGAUCAGCUACACAUCCCAUAAAGCACUUUAUGGUGGCAUUACAUGUAAAAUAGCUUAUGAGUCAUCACCCUCAAACCGUAUUCGGGUAAGGCUGCUGCUACAGAAGGCCAAGCCGAGUUGUCUAUAUAAGAAGAAAGAGAAACCAGGAAUAAGGACACUCAAUCAAACAAACAAAUGCAAGCACAAACUCUGCUCAAAGCUAGAUUUGCCUUCAAACAAAGCUGUAGUCAGCCUUCAUCCCUCUCGGGACAAGCCUUCAUCCCUCGCGGGAUAACCCUCCCUUCAAACCUUUGUAAUAGCUCUGCUACCCUGUUCAACCUUGCUGUAGUAUCGAUUCAUCUUUUGUAAUCCCUCUCUCUAUCCCUCUAAGCUGUCAGACCCUUGACAAAACUACAAAGAUAGGAACCUACAGGACGAGCAGCCUUACCUGAUAAGGUUUAACCUUGCCCGACCUUCUUUGCUUUGUUUUUGUCUUUUCAAUAUGUUGUAUACGUCCAGUUGUAUGCAAGUUAUUUCUAGCAAUAUGACUAUUAAAAGGCUUUCUCAAUACUUGAAUCCGAUUUGAAUAUAUCUUCAGUGUUCAAACCAGAUCCAAGUCCUAAGCCCUCGGGCAUGUAAAUCUGAUCGGUUAAAAGUCCUUGGCCUCAAGGCAUAAAAAAGAACCUUAUGUGGACUUAACCCAUCCACGACAGUCCUUGAUAAACGAGAAGUCCGAAGUUACUUUGGGCACAAGUAAUCGACCUACCCUCUAGUUUUAUUUCUAUUAUGUUAUGAUUACCAUAGAACGCUUGAGCAUGAAGUGGAUUCUGAUGGAAAGCCUCAAGGCCUACACCUAAGGCCCCACAAAGGCAUCCAUUUGGAUUCAUUCCGUUCUGCGAUCUAGAGAGUCUAAGUAUAAGGAUGAACUCUGAUGGGAAGCCUCAAGGCCUAGGCUACACCUAAGGCCCCACAAAGGCACCUAUUUGGGUUCAUUCUACUUCUUGGACUCGGGUAAUCAGAAGUAUAAUAGUUAGAAAACUCCGGCAAUCACAAGAACAAAUAUGAUGUGUUUGAGCACUGGUUUAGUUAUUUAUGGGAAGCUUCAAGGCCUACACCUAAGGCCCCACAAAGGCACCUGUUAUAACUAACACGGUUUCUCGGAUAUAUACAUAUAUACAAUUAAAACUCGACAUCCAUUUUACAUCUACCAUGCUGAAGAUGGCAGUGGCACGCCUGAGCACCUAAAAGUUAACCUUGAUUGUGAACCUCAAGGCCUAUACCUAAGGCCCCACAAAGACACCUCUCAAAGUUAACGUUGUCCUUCUCUUUCAGCUUUGCCCGACGAGCCUUGCCCGAAGAGUAUUGCCCGACAAGACUUGCCCGACAAAGCCCGAUAGCGAAGCAGAAGCCCGAUAGCAGCCCUCAACCGGCGCCAACCUCCAGAGGAGCUGUGUGCUCGUCGGCCAGGAAACAUCCCCGACAGAAAUUCCUGACGCGAACACUAGUAGGAACGCUUUGCAUAAUGUUGCCCACUGCAUGCAUGCAGUACUAUAUUAUUAACAAUAAAUCCAAAUCUGAAUUGUAAUGCGUAAGUCAUUGAAUCGAAGUUAACUUAUAUACCGAUUUUUUAAGGGGCUCUAGAGGGUUCCAUCCAUGCCUUUUGUGCACAAUGUAGCUGGUUUCAUUGGUAACGUCAUAAAGAGCCUUAAAACAUAUCUUCAUGUAAUUCGGUAGUUCAAAUUAAGGUGAGUAUAAAAUGUAUAUUGUAUUUCUAUAUUAUGAUUUACAAUAGAGAUGCUCUUUAUAGGAGCCAAAGGAGUGGACAACAACUAAUGGAAAUAGUAAAGAAAGACUAAUGGACAAUUAGUGGACUAGACAAAAUUAUGAAAGGCAUGUCUAAUGGAAGUACUCAUGAAAGGCUAGUGGACAAGCAAUCAAUGUGUUGAGAAGAAGAUUCCCUUUUACGCCCCCGCAAGACGGUGGUCCUGUCAGAGACACCGAUCUUGGAUCGUAACAAUUGGAAGCGUGGACGAGGAAGAGCUUUUGUGAGGACGUCUGCAAGCUGAUCCUGAGUAGAAACAUGUGAAACUUGAAGAAGCCCGUGAUUGAUGCGAUCACGAACAAACUGAAAAUCAAGUUCAAUGUGCUUCAUGCGAGAGUGAAGAAUAGGAUUGACACUAUAAAAAGUUGCCCUAAUAUUGUCGCAGGAAAUGGUUGGCUUAUCCAUUGAGGAGACACCAAGCUCAUGGAUAAGGGAUUGAAGCCAAGCUAGUUCAGCAGUAAUAGAGGCUAUGGCGCGGUAUUCUGCUUCCGUAGACGAUCGAGCGACAAAACAUUGUUUGCGAGAGCUUCAAGAGAUUAAGUUGCCACCCAAAUAGAUGACAUAACCCGUGGUAGACUUACGGUCAUCACGAUCACCAGCCCAGUCAGCGUCUGAGAAGGCAUAUAGACGAGAUGAGGCACUGCGGUGGAAGAGAAUGCCAUGAAAAACAAUGCCUUUUAGAUAGUGGAUGAGACGUUUCAAGGCCUGCCAAUGAGACUCAGUGGGUCGAUGCAUGAACUGUGAGAGUUUGUUGAUGGUAAAUGAGAUGUCAGGGCGGGUGAGACUGAGGUAUUGGAGACCUCCAACAAGUUGUCGAAAGGUAGUAGCAUCAGUGAGAGGUGAGCCAUCAGAGAGAAUCAAAGGAGUAGAGGUAGCCAUUGGUGUGGUCACAUCCUUAGCAUCAUCCAUUUUAGCUUUAGCGAGAAGAUCAUGGAUGUAUUUAUGUUGAGAAAGAAACAAACCCGUGGUGGUGGGUAUCACUUCAACCAAGGAAAGGAAAUGAAGGUUCCCAAAUCUUUGACAAAAAACGAUUUCCAAGACUUGAAUGAACAUAGAGAGGAGACUGGUAUAUAUUUAUUUCCUGUAAGAAUAAAGAAGAUCAUCAAUCAACAUAAACUAGAAGGAAUAUCACAUCAUUAUCCUGACGAAAAAUAAAGAGAGAGAUAUCUGAGAUGGCAUUGAUACAAAUCCUUGAUUGAGCAAAAAGGUGCUCAACUCCUUGUACCAUGAUCGGGGCCUGCUGCUUGAGGCCAUAUAAAGCUUUGCGAAGUUUGCAGACAUGUGUUGGAAUGGUAAAUUCACGAAUAACUGUUGACCAUGGGGAAUUGUACCCAUGUGGUUUUCAAACAAUCAUUUCAGGAUAGUGAUCCAUGCAAAAAGCAUUGUUCACGUCUAAUUAUUGACGAAGAGGCCAACCCAACCAUGUUUGAGUGAGCCAAAUGAAGAAACAAUACGGAUGGUGGUGAGUUUUGAAAACACAACUGACUGAAGGUGUUUUAAGAGAAAUCCACGCCAGAGACAUUGGUGAAAGCCUUUAGCACAAAGGCGUGCUUUGUACCUAUCAAUGUUGUGCAUGGAAUGUGCAAGCCAUUUCAGAUUCAUUGUGAAUCUUUUUGAUGCGGAAGACCCCAUUGCAACGCCCGAUAGAGAUUCUGUGAAGGCUUGUUAAGGAGGAAGGAACAAGCUCCCAUGUGCCAUUGCGGAUUAAACGCCUUAAAAACUCGGACGACACUUGCUGGCACGAGCCAAAGAGGGAUCUUUUAAUAGCCUGCAGAAACACAUGUUGGUUCAAUGGAAGGAAGUGGGAAUGUGGUGCUUUGGUGGCAGUUGGGAAAUUGUUUUUUAGGUCUUUAAGAUAUUGUUUUUGGCUUCUGGUAAUAUGGGGUGAUGGUUGAAAUUAUUAGGUGGUGGUGGUGGUGGGGUAAAGGAAUGUAUUUGGAUGUGGUGGUGGGGGUAAAGGAAUGAUAGAGGGGUGUGGUGAUGGGUAUGAGAUGAGAUGAUGUUGAGGAGGAGGGGGUAAGUAGUCGCAAAUGGUGAUGGUGCAGCGGCAGAGAAAACACAAAACUCCGAGACCUCCGUAAAGAUGUAUGAAUGGCAGCAUGCUGAGAAGAGGUGUGUGUGAGGAACUGGUGGCACUUCGGGCAAUGUGAGCAGGAAUGGAGAUGGCGGCUUGAGUGACAGGAGACCAUGCAGUGGAGUCGGGGGAAGGAACUGAAGGGAGUGCAAAACAGAGUCAAAAGAAGAAAAGGAAAGUGUUUUCAUCAAAUCGAACGUGACGGGAAACAAACAUACGACGGAAAGGGAGAUCAAGACAUAGAUAAGCACUUUGAGUAGAGGAGUAACCAAGAAAGAGACAUGGACGAGAUCGAGGAAGAAGCUUGUUGGAAUUAUAGGGUCUUAACCAAGGGAAACAUAAGCAACCAAACACACGAAGCUUAAUGUAGUUAGGAAGAUCACCAAAGAGAGCUUUGUAUGGAGAUAUAUUAUUGAGAACAUGAGUGGGCAUCCUAUUAAUAAGAUACACAGCAGUUUUGAAAGCAUAAUGACCAAUAAUAAGUUACAAAGAUAGGGGUAAGGAUGCUUGGUGGAGAAGUGUUAACCCUGUUUUCGACAACAUGGCGGUGGCGGCGUUCAGUACAACACCAUGUGUUCAGAAGUGUGUGGAUGAGUGGUGAGGUGAGUGAUGCCAUUUGUGGAAAAGAAAAUGUUUGAGUUUAACAUAUUCUCCUCCUCCGUCAGAGUAGAAGGUGAUUAUUUUGGUGUGGAAGUAGUUUUCUACAAGAGCUUUAAAGGUUGUGAAGAUUGAGAAAACAUCGGAUUUGUGUUUCAUGGGAUAAAACCAAAUAUAUUUCGUGAAAUGAUCGACAAAGAUAACAUAGUAUGAAAAACCAUCAGUAGAUAAAUAGGAGGAGCAGGGACUUAUACAUACAUCACUAUAAAUUAGUUCAAGGGGACGCUUACUAACAAGCGUAGAAUGACCAAACGGGAGCUUGUGGCUCUUAUUGCAAUGACAAGAAGUGCAAAGGAGUUGAAGACAUAGGAAUUGAGGAGGUACGUUGGAUUUGAAGAUAGGUUCGAUGGUUGGGGUGACCAAGCCUACGGUGCCACACAUUGGAGGAGUCCAUCACACUACUCAUAACUUGUUUUUGAGGCAUCAAGCACGGCCACUCAUAUGUAUCGUUCUUAUUCGGGCCUCGAAGAAGUGCCGCUCCCAUGUUGAGAUCCUUGACAAGAAAGGAAUCAGGAAAAAAUUCAAUAGAGGUGGCAUUUUGUCUAUUAAAUUUGGCAAUGGAAAUAAUAUUACGGGAAAUGGAAGGAACACAAAGGACACCAUUUAAGUGAAAUGGGGUGGUAGAGGAAGAAGAGAGUGAUGUGGAACCAACAUGUGUAAUACUUAAACCUGUUCCAUUACCAAAUAACAAUUUGAUCAGGACCAUCAUAGGUAGUGGAGUCCGGAUGUUCCUGGAGUCAGAAGUAAGACAUGGUGAGAGCACUCGAGUCGAGCAGCCAAGCAGCCAAGGAGAUGAUGUUGAGGGGCGGAUAGUGGUGUGGUUGACCAUGGGUGGAGCGGAAGAAAGUUGAGGGCAACGUUUUGCACUAUAUGCCCUUGAGUACCACACCAAUGACACAAAACCACGAUACCCCGUAUAGAGAACGAUGAUGAUUGGAGUUUGUGGUGGUUAGCACGGUUAGAGUUGUAGGUGGUAUUUGUUGGACGCUGCUGGGAGGCUUGUGUGGCCCUGAAGUCACGCUAGAAGGAGCGGGGAGCUUAAGCAACAAGGGCAGUCAUAGGAGUAACAGCAGCUGGUGGUGCAUCUCGUUGGAGGAAAGUUUCAUGUUCAAUGAGUUUGUCAUACCGAUUUUCAAAAGAGAUGGAGGUAUCGCUAGCUCGAACAACGACAACGAUUUCUUUGAAGGCAGGUCCAACACCAUUGAGGACGUGUAGAACAACAUCAUCGUCGGAGAGUGGAGAAUCAAUGAUGGCAAGCUCAUCAAUGAUAACUUUGAUAGCUUGUAGAAAAACUGACACAGGUUGUGUAUCGCGACGCAUGAGCGUAAGACGCUCUUUGAGGUUGAGAACCCGAGAGCGUGUUUUGUUGGCGUAGAGCUUGGUGAGCUUGUCCCAAGCCUCCUUAGAUGUUUUAGAGAAGGAAAUGAGAUAUAUAAUCUGUUCAGAGACAGAAGCUAAGAUAGCAUGUAGUAGCAGCUGAUCUUGACGAAUCCAGAAGGUGUAGCACACAGUAGAGGAGGCAGCAGGACGUGGUUUUGAUCCAUCAAUGUAACCCAUCAGGUCAUACCCAAGAAGCAGGGCAUUGAAUUGAGCUCGCCAUGAAGGAAAGUUGGUGGGUGUGAGUUUUAGAGGUAACUGAGCAGCAGCGUUAAUGGUGAUAGGGGUGGGCAAGGGGGGUGAGUUGGUGGAUUCAGCCAUGAGGAUCGGAAAAAAAAUUGCUCGAUGGAGCUUUGUUGCUCUUGAUACCAAAUUAAGGUGAGUAUAAAAUGUAUAUUGUAUUUCUAUAUUAUGAUUUACAAUAGAGAUGCUCCUUAUAGGAGCCAAAGGAGCGGGCAACAACUAAUGGAAAUAGUAAAGAAAGACUAAUGGACAAUUAGUGGACUAGACAAAAUUAUGAAAGGCAUGUCUAAUGGAAGUACUCGUGAAAGGCUAGUAGACAAGCAAUCAAUUUGUUGAGAAGAAGAUUCCCUUUUAGUUCACCAGUUGCAUCAAUAUCCCAUCUGCAAAUAAUUAAUUACAUGCGUUAAUGUCAGCGCAAGUGACUAUGAAUUAGACCGCUGAUAGUCAUGCAUGAUUCAAAUUCACAAUCUAGCAACAUAUUCACAUUUUAUUUGCACACUAGUGUAACAUGUAGGAUAUCAUAAAACCACACAAGUACACGAACCUCUCAACUGCAGCUGUGAAGAGAAUGAGUUCAUCGAGGGUGCCCUGAACAUCAAAAAUAUCGUCAAUUAUGUAGACAAGAGAGAUCGAUUUUGUGAGUUCAACCCUUUCCUCUGAUAAGCUUGGAUCUGCUAGGCAUGCCAUCGGCCACGUAUACCAUUUAAUUGGCUGGUCUCUCACGAACUUCAACUCCUUAGUCAAGCCUAGUUCUUUCCACCACCUAAUUAUUACGAUGAAAAAUAUUUUCAUUAAUUAAAAAGGAGUACUAACUUAAAAUCAGUGUCUAGUGUCUUUGGAUCUGAACUCACUUGGAUACUUGUUGAACUUCAUUUCGGAUUAGAGAUUCAACCAUGUUGAACUCUAGUUUUGCUAGCUCCCGCAAAACAUUGACCCAUUUCUCCUUCCCUUCGAAAUUAUUUAAGUAGUUCUUAGCCAUGAAUCUUGUCAAGCUCUUGUGAUAAGGAUGCUCUAAUGAGUACGCGAAGGAUGAAGCUUGAUGAUCAUCGAGGUUGUUUUUCAUCCAAUCCGUGAGAAGCUGGUGGCUUCGCCUUCCAGCUUCAUCAAGUGACUCUUCUCCUGGGAAGCUCAAAUGAGAUGCUUCAUAUAAUCCUACUAAUCCGCUUAUGUCGACUUCCUUGUUGUUCUUGAACUUAUUAAAUAUUGCAUCUGUUAAUCACAAGGAAAAUUAAUUACUUUGUAGUAAUGGUGACAUUAGCUUUCAGAGUAAUGUUAGACAGACCAAAUUUUUCAACCAAAUUUGACAUUUGUAUCAACAAACAAACAAAUAAAUGUUCACUUGGUCGUUUUAAUAAAAUAACAUUUUGCAGUAAAGUUAGGACAAAAAGAGAAUUGAGACCAACCUGUGGUUACAUGAUAACCUUGUUGUCUCAGUAGUCGAAAACGAAGUGAAACCACACCAAGUUCAUCACUGCCUUCAUCACCAUAAGCUCUCGUGCAUUGCUUUUUUUAAAUUGCUUCAAUCUCCUCUUGGAAAUGAUAGUCAACGCCUAGGCGUUGCAUGGCGUCAACCGCAAUCAAUUGUUCAUCUUCUCCGAUGUUUGCGAGUGCAUCCUUCAAUUCCUUCAAUUUCUUUGCAUAGCGAACCUGAAGGUCGCCCUAAAAGGGGAAACAUUGAACUUAGCAUGAUAAGCAAACACUAGGCUGAAAUUACAUAGUAAAAAAAUAAAGGUGAAUUGUCAAUUUAGUUUCCGAAUUAUCAUCUGAGUGAAAAUAAGUUCCUAUACUAUUUUUUCAGUCUGUGAAUUAUAAAAAUCUGCUAAUUACAUUCUUAAUAUUAGAUACGAAGCUACUAUAUUCAAUUUUCUGUCAAUUUAAGUCACGUUACUUGCAUGUGAUUCACAUUGGAAGGUAGAUUGAUAUUUUUUCAAAAGACAGUGUAUAGAGUUAACUUAGGAGGGUAAAUUAGACGUUACAUUCGCAACCUAUAUGAAAUGUUAAAGGCUUAUAAGCGAGAAAAUGAUAGUAUUAUACUCUAAAGUAACAAGUGACUUAAGUUGACGAAAAAUUGGAUAAAAUAGCUUUGAAUAUAAUAGUAUGAAUGAUAUUAGCAAUUUUUUAUCAAUUUAGGUACUUAUUUUACUGAAAAAAUAAUUCUAGGACCUAAUUUUCUUUAAGGUGAUAUUUUAAGGACUAAAUCGGCACUUUAUUCUAAAAGAAAAAGAGAGAGAAGAUAGUGUGUGGAGUAAUUAAGUAACCAAGUAGUGUUAGUUUUGGUACAUGAGUAGUGGAUUUGUGGAGCAAUUUGGACACUAAUGUGUAUAUAAAAUAUAUAUAUAUAUAUAUAUAUAUAUAUAUAUCUAUAUGUUGGGUUAUUAUUUUUGGAACUUACAAUAACUUGUCCCUUGGAGGAAGCAGAGUGAGCUUGAAGGAAGUGUGCCAUUUUCUACAAGAAAGAAAUUAAGAAAUUCCAGUUUUGGAUGAGAGAAAAUACUUGUUGGGAAUGAAGUGAGGUGAUCAGCUCAUGGUGAUUCCUAGUGAAUUUAUAGGGCAAUGUCUCUUGGCAUCCAAUGCAAUGGAGCAUGCGGAGCAGUGGCGGAGCCACAUGGAGACUAGGGUAGUCCAGGGCCUAUCCUGGAAAUAAAUUUAUAGCGAUUAUGUAGUAAAUUUUGCAGUAAUGUGCAAGUGGUGUGUUGGUAUGUUAGGUUUUAAUGGUUUCAUUAGGUCUUGGGGUCGAUGCUUGCUGACGAAAAGCUAUUUUUUGGUAUUUUUUACCAAUUAUCAUAUAUAACUAACCUUCUGCUAACAUUCUGAUUUCUUUUAACCAAUUAUUUUUGUGUUAGUUCAUAUAAAACAAGGUAUAUAUAUUCGGGAGGAAGAUUAAAUGAUAUUAAAAAAAAAGUAUCGUAAUAAUAGCUUAUUUUUUUGUUAGUUCAUAUAAAAUAAGGUAUAUAUAUUCAAGAGAACGAUUCAAUAAUAUUAAAAGAAAAAUAUUGUAAUAAUAGAUUGAGCUAGUUAUAACAUUAUUAUUAAUGUUGCGUUAGAUGUCAACACAUGUUCUAUUUACUAUGACAUCUCUCAAUACUAAUUUUUUCAUACAAAUUUUAAAGCUCCAUCACUCUUGUUUGAUUCAAAUUUUCCAUGAUAUUACUAUUUUUUUUUCUAAUUUCUUUCAUUAGUUUAAAGGCCUUUGUGGCAUGAAUUUCUGGCUCCGCCACUGAUGCGGAACGUUUUGCACACUUUAGUGGUGGGAUCAAUGUGCACGAUGAUGAAGUUGAGUACUUGAGCUCGAUUGAUGCAUAUUUUUGUCUUAACAGUACACAACGUUUUGCACCCUUUAUUGUUGGAGAAAUAAGAUAGUUGAAUUCGUCAGGGACUUGAUAUUAACAAUGCAAAAUUUUAUUCUACACUUCUUAUAAGUGUAUUUUUCUUUUUAAUUAUAGAAAGUUUAGAGUGCAAAAUAAGAUUUUUAAAGUGCCAAUAACAAUCUCAUUUUCUAUAUGCUAAAACUCGGUUCAAAAAACAUUGUUCACCAACCGUAAAAUGACAAAUGGCCCUCCACUAGCUCUCCAUUCCUCGUUCUUUUUCCUCCUUAGCAUAGUGGAAUGACGCCUUUGUCCACACUGCCCACGUGUCGAUCAUCAUCCAAUGCUCUGCUUCGACUACAUCUUCUCGACUCUUCAUUCCAAUUUCACUUCUUCGUGUCUAUUUUUUGACAUUUUCUGUAGCAUUUAGCCAACAACCCAAGUUAUAUGCUUAACUAUUGUAGCUCCCAUUUUUAACCGUACUUAGGGGAGGGGGCUCAUCAGAUUUUGGUGGGCAACAAUGCAUCUAACCUCCUUGACCGUCCCUAAAAUUCCAUUUCAAUCUCACUUUUAUCCUUUGAAACUCAAAUUUCGCCUAUUCCUUUUCAAAAGAGUAGCAAAAAAUAAGCAUAGAAAUGUUAAGACUUCACUGAACUCUUCUCCUUCUAGCAGACGAUAGCCACAUAAAACCAAAACCUAUCCACACCAACAAUCCUUAGAUAUACACAUAAGCACAUGAAAUUAACUGUAAUUUUACAUAUUUAAGCUAUUUAAAGCUGUUGGGACAUUAUUUCAGAAAAAAAUGGCCAGUGGAUGAAGAUUGAAGAAGCCUCCUCUUCUUUUCUUUUUUUCCUUUUUUUUCAAUAUAUGUGGCACCAUUUGGUUGGAUGCGUUGAUCUUAUACUUAUGUCUUAGUAAACUUAACGAAUAUGUAACAAACAAGAUAAAAAUCAAGCAAAAAUGGAACGAAAAUUUAGUUCCAAGGUAUUAAAUAGAAAAUUUUGAAUUCAAUGGGAAAAUAAGAUUAAAAUCAAGUUUGAGGAGGCAUAGGAAAAAUAAAAAUGUUGCUGUUUCAUUUAAAACUCAGUCAAUAGUUAAUACAGUUACACAUCAAUGGUAGGGAUGAGCAUUGGACAAACAUAGUGGGAUUGGAGUUGGGCAAUCCAUGUCCAUUAAACAUAAGGAAAACUAAUGAAAAGAGCUUGAAAACUUUGAGUUUUAAUGAUAAAGACAAAAUAAAGGGUAAAGUGAAUAGUACCAGGAUUGACUUUUUAGUGUAAAAAUGUGGUUUUUCGUUAAAGUGAACAGUUUCAUGAGUUUUUCGUUAAAGUUCUCUUAAACAAAUGAUGAAUGGGGACCAUUACCCAAAAAAAUCCAUUUAUACAUUUAAUGGAGACCCGUAGUCCUUCCUACACAACCCAUUCCCACCGAGAGAAGAUGAGCGAGACAGACCACAAAUGCUACUCAAAAGUAUGAUCUCUUGCCUUACAUUUUAACGUUAAUUUUCGUGUUAUAAUUAUAAAACGUUAUCCCAACAUUAUAAAACAUUUGUCUCACUUUUAAGACCAAAUCUAACCCUGGGCUAAAUGCUAUUUUGUAGGUUUUAUUCCCCCCCCCCCCUCAAACCCAACCCAACUCAUGUAAAUGUGUGGGCUAAAAGCUAAAUGCCAAAUUCCCCCUAGGAUUUAGCCCAUAAAAUGGUGUGGGCACCACCAGAGGGACCCCACCUACAUGGGCAUGUCUCACAGGAUUUAAUGAAUCCAACGGCUGAGAUCGAAUAUAAUCAAAUUUAACUGUAAAAAAAAAAAUCUAACGGCCCAAAUUUAAAUCUAACGGUUAAAAUAAUUAAAAAAAAUUAUUUAACUCAAAAUUCACCCAAAUUUAGUGGUUUUUCAAUAUUUAUCAGAAUUUAAAUAUUUUUAUGUUAAAAUGUUAAUAAAAUUAAAAUUAUGAUAGUGUACAUAAUUUAAUUUUUUUUUUAAAUUACUUUAAAAGAAGAACAACAACCCAAAACGCUAACUUUGUGGAACUUUCAUUGUUUUUGUUAACAUUGAUUACGACCCCCGAGACUGAAAGCUAAAUUGGUAUUAAUUCCACUCCAUGCAUCUUGCUUUUUCACCUACAUACACAGCUAAGAGCACUUCUAAAAGAGAUGUCAAAAUAUAAAUGUUAAAUGUUAAUUUGAUGGCUGACGUGGCAAUGUUAGAUUUUCUCUUUUUCCAACUGAUAUGUUUCUUUAUUAUAAAUGAUAUCUGUAGGAUUCAUUUUAAAAAUAAAUCAAUUAAAAUACAUUUUCAAAAUCUAUAAUUGAUGCAUUAAUAAGCCUCACACAGUAAAAUAAUUAAAAAAAAUUUGACAUCAAAGUCAUUACAAAUUGUACCAUCUCAAUCAUAAACGGCAUCCCUUCUGCACAACAUGGUAAAGUUUUUUCACGUUCCUUGUCACAUUAGUCCAUAAAACAACAAAGGAUCUUUAAUCCCAGUUUUACCGACCAAGCGAAAACAAUCCUUAUCCAAAGGAUUGCAUGGGAUCUUCAUUUGAACUUUAGCAGCCUAUCUUCGAUCCUAAUGCAAUAAUACCAUGACAAAAUCACAAUAAUAAAAAAAAAAAGGUCGUACCCAGUGCACAAUAAUAAUCACUGAAAAUCUAACGUGUAAAACCGGAAUCCUUUCUUCAUCCAACAAGCCUUAAUUAUAUCGGGCGAUAGUGUUAAAUCGAGUCUAAACAAUUAGAGAUUAAACCAUGCUGAACUCUAGUUUUGUCAAGCUCUUGUGAUAGGGAUGCUCCAAUGCAUAUGCGACUGCUGAAGCUUGAUGUGUUAGUGUUGAAGAACAAUGUUUGAGUUAUAAUUUUAGUCUUGAAAAGGCUCAAGAGUUAAAGAAUAUGUGGAACAAACAAUAACAAUACUUUAAUGUGAAACGGAAAGUCCAAUUUUUGUUACAGAACUUAAAAUAUGUUUUUAGAUGUAUAAACGACCUUGGUUAGGGAUUGGUUUAAUUAAAAACAUGUAUAAUUAUAUGUUUACUGUAAUAAUCUUGAUCGUUAAAUUUAGUCAAUGGACGAGAUUACUGAGAGGAACAAGAGGCAUGUUCAACAACUAUUCAUAUAUGUGUUGUCACAUUACAUUUUCUACUGCUAAAUAACCUAGUCCAAUAUGCUCAACGGGUACAUUUUCUUUUUGGGCUACGGUCAAGACUCAAGCCCAUAUCCAAAGAGUUCGAGUUGUAUUUUUUACAUUACGUAUUUUAAUAGAAAUUGUGAGAAAUUUUACUUUUUAAUUAUUAAUUUUUUAGCAUGCAUAUUCCAUCGCACUGAAAAAUCUCUGGUCUCAGAAGAUGUCGUUAAGUUCUCCAGCGCUCCUUCUGCACCGCCACCCAAUCUAACGUCACCAACGGCAGGAGCAUUGGCGCCAUCUCCACCGACCUCUACAAAGAGCGCAACCUCAAACGCCUCUCAGAAGUUGUCAAUUGAACCAGAUGUGAUGUCGUAUAAUACUAUGAUCGAGGCAUUUUGUGAAAUGGGUUCGUUGGAUCGGUGGUUUCGAUGGGAUGGAGAAGAAGGGUGUUGAGUCGGAUAUAAUCAUGUUCAACACGAUCAUGAAUGGGUUGUUUGCGAAUGAUCAGUUUUUGGCAGCCGAGAAGCUGUGGAGUUGAAUGAAGAAUGUUGUCCCUGAUGUUAGGAGCUACAAUGCCAGGUUGUUGGGAUUGGCUUCGGAGAAGAAAACUGACGAGGCGGUUGAAUUGUUCGAGGAAAUGCGGAACAAGGAAGUAAAACCUGAUGUGUUAAGCUUCAAUGCCAUGAUCAAGGGAUUUGUUAAUGAGGGUAAAUUGGAAGAAGCUAAACAGUGGUAUCGUGAACUGGUGAAGCGUAGUUGUGCUCUGCAGAAAUGAACUUUCCAGGCUCUUGUUCCUUUUGUUUGCGAGAGGGGUGAUUUGGACUUUGCCUUUGAACUCGGCGACAAAAUUUUCAAAGGGCGUCUCCUUGUGGAUGUGGAGUUACUGCAGACUCUGGUGGAUGGGAUAGCUAACGCUUCCCGGAUCAAUGACGCAAAGAAGAUUGUGAGGCUUGGGAACACAAAUACAUACCUGCGUUACAAUUUGCAGUUGCCUUCAGAGGAAUAAUGUAUUUCUGUUGUUGUUUGUUUCUGUUUGCAUGUCGAAAUGUUUGUGCUUUUAUUGCUAGACACUUCUAAUUUAUAUAGUUAAAUUUGUGCAAGCUUCAAACAUUCCUUCAAUUUCAGUGUUGAAUAGUUAUUAUUACACAGAUUUUCAUACAGCAUGGAUUUCAUAUACGCCUCAAGAGGUGGAAGGUGUUGGUCAUCAUCGUAGCGACACAUUAACAGGACCAAUUCUUUGUUUAACUGCUUCCAUUCUUCUUAAAUCAUAUUUACAGCAUUUUCUUGUGUUUCCUCCAUUGAAGAACCUAGAUUUUCAUCUAAGUAGCGUCGUAUGUAUGACCCCUCGUGCCGAUCCUGAUUCUCAUCCUUCAGUCAAGCUAUGCACAUUUUGAGAGAUAUGAACAAGAUGUUUACUCUAUGUAACGUGUUUGAUUUGAAUCUAAUUAUAUAUAAUCACCUCGGCGCUUCCCAAAUCUUCCUAAAGCCGAAGAAUUGCUGCUGUGGAAGAUGCAAUUUCUAGAGUUCUAUUCAACGGCUCCACACUUUCUUUGGUUAUACUUUGACCCAAGAGAAAGAAUCUAUGCACCAUCAUCGCAUUAACCCCAGAAGAAGGGUUAAUCUCAGUUUAUUACCCUGAAAUUUCUUAGUUUUCAACUUUUGGUACAUAAAUUUUUUUUUUCAUUGUAGUCUGAUACCUAAAGUCAUAAUUCUGGGACAUUUUCAUACAUCCGUUAAGUUUUCUGUCAGGACCUCAAUUAAUUGAUGAUGUGUCGCCCACUUGGACAAUGAUUGAGCGCCACGUUUCAAUAUGGGCCUAUGUGAAUAUUAAAAAAAUUAAAGUUUUUUCUUUCUUUUCUAGGCAUCCUACUUCCCUCGGACCCUCUCCCCUCAUUCUCCCUCCAUUCUUUGCACCCACCCUCCCUGCACACCCACUAUCUGCCCUGCUCCUCUUCCACCUAUCUAGGUAUGACAUAGGCCUUGCCGCCGCACAAAUGGGUCGGCGUUAUCGAAGGUCAGCCGCAGGUGGCGGUGGAUCAACGAAGUCAAUAGCGGAUCGGCGUUUAGGAGAUAGCGAAUCGCAGUCUCGAUUGCUGAACUAUCUUAAUCUUGGAGGCCAUGGUGACGGUGAAGGGUUUGGGGGAUUCAAAUACGGCAACUAUCUGAUGGGAGGAAUUGGGUGAAGAGGGUGGAGGAGAGAGAAGAGAGGGGAGGUGAAAAGGGUGGGGGUGGGUACCGUAUAGAGGUUGGGUGGGUGCAGAGGAGAGAAGGGAGGGAGCAAGGUAGAUGUGUGGGUGUGCAAGGAGGUGGGUGUAGGGAAAAGAAGGGAGGGAGAAUGAGGGAGGGUGUAAUAUCCCACAUCGCCGGAAGAGGGGAGGUGAUGUGCCUAAUAUGUAUAUGUCCACCUCCCUACAGUAAGACGCAUUUUGGGUGGAAGCCCAAGAACAAAAUCGUGAGGGCAUAGCCCAAAGCGGACAAUAUCUUACUUUGCGGACUGGGAUGUGACAAUUUGGUAUUAGAGUCACUGCCCAGCCGAAAGUGUGCCGACAAGGGCGUCGAGCCCCUAAAGGGGUGGAUUGUAAGAUCCCACAUCAUCCGAAGGAGGGAAGGUGAUGUGCUUUAUAUGUACAUGCCCACCUCCCUAUAGAAAGACGUGUUUUGGGUGGAAGCCCAAGAACAAAACUGUGAGGGCAUGGCCUAAAGCGGACAAUAUCUUACCAUGCGGACUCGUGAGGGCGUGGCUCAAAGCGGACAAUAUCUUACCGUGUGGACUAGGAUGUAACAAAGCGAGGCGGGAAGGGUGAGGCAGGAUGCCCAGAAAAGAUUUUUUUUUUAAAUUUCCAUGUGGACCCAUAUUGACACGUGGCAUCCAGUCAUUGUCCACGUAAGUGCCACUUCAUCAAUUAACUAAUGUUCUGACGGAAAACUUAACGGAUGUAUGAAAGUGUUCCAGAAUUAUGACUUUAAGUACCAAACUGGGACAAAAAAAACUUUAUGUAUCAAAGGUUGAAAAUCAAGAAAUUUUAGGGUAGUAAACUAAGAUUAACCCCCUAGAAGAAACAAUACCAUUCUUUAAGUAGUCUUCCGCCUUCGGCAAGUGCCCGGAUUUGAACCGUUUUGCUUCUGCUAAAAUGCAUUGCACAGAAUCCUCCACUGCACGUGAUAGUAGAAUUAACUAUCUGUUAAGCCUUCUCUUGAACAAACUAGUAAUUAAAUUUCAUGACACUAACCGGUUUAAUAUAUUACCUUCUUAAACGAAUGUAAUGGGUACCACCCAUGCUUUUGAUAGAAUUUGCAGCUGAUUUCAUUCGUCAUAUUGUAAAGAGACUUGAAAUAUAUGUUCAUGUAGUCCGGUUUAAGUGCUCUAUAGCACCAAUUUCGCAUCUGCAGCGUAACAUUUACUGAUCAAUUCACGGUGAAAACUGGUGAAGCCAAUUAAGAAAGUACAGGACAUUUUAUUGUUUACAUAUUGACAGCCUCAGUGAAGAGAGUAAGUUCAUCAAGCGUCUCGUACAUCGAAAAUGUCAUCAAUAAAUGGUUUUGUGAACUGAAUCCUCUCCUCUUACAGGUUAGGAUCUGUUGAGCGCAAACUACAGUUCCCUAGGCAGUCCCAUCUCUUUCCAUCACCUAAUUAUUUUGUUGGAUGAAAUAAACAGACAAAUUAGGAUUUCUAUAGUGCAGUUAACCGUAUUGUUUACAUGCGGAUAUAUUCUUGAUAUUGAUGAUAUUGUUGGUACUUCGACCUUGUAGAUAUGUGUACAACAUGGUUGGCGAUAAAUUGGACAACAUUUUUAAGAAGUGCUGUUAAAUGCACGAUGUCAGUUAAUUUUGGAAAUUUGAAUAUCUACUUCUGAUGUAUGGACUGAACCAAAUUAAAAUCCGUUUUGCCACAUCCUGUAGCAUAUUUAGCCAUCUAUUGUUCAUGCCAGCUUGGGAAUUAGUAACAAAAAAGUGGCCAUGAAUGUGGCCAAGCUUUUGUGAUGGGGGUACUCCAGUGUGUUCCCCACAACUCUGGCCUAAUGAGGACCAGGAUAGGACAAUGAUCUAUUUACGAGAUCACUACUCAAUUUUCCAGCUUCAUCAAGUGCAUCUUCUCCUUCCCUGCUUAGCUGUAAAGCUUCGUACACACUCAUCAAUCCCUUGACCUCUUAACUAAUUAACGUUUUCUUAAAAUGCUUCCUUCGCUUUCCUUCAAGUUGUUGACACAUCUAUUAAUAACAAAAGUUAUAAUUGGGAGUGAUUGACUGAUACUGAAUAUCAAUCUGCAAUACUAAGUAAAUAUAAGAACAAAUUGUUACCGAAAUUUUAGUUAUACUCACCCUCGGACACGAAGUGACCAUGUGGCCAUAACAGAAGGGCAACUUCAUGAAGGUCAUUUUGUUGAUGAGAAAGGCCAGGAGCUGAUAGAUAUGAUUAGGUCAAUUUGUUCUUCGAUAGUGGUAAUCUAUACCUAGACGUUGAACAACAUCGAUCAUGUUCAAACUUUCGAGCGCGCCUUCUACUCCUACUUUGCUCAAUACAUUCCUGAAUGCCUCCAACUUUUAUUCAUGUCAGAAACGGCAUGUCAUCCUGCAAGCAAAGUGGAGUUAUUUGAAGAGUGGACAUAGGUUUGGAUAUAAAUAGCUGAAUGAGAUCAGAGUGCCCAAGAAGUAGGAUCUUUUUUUGAGCAAUAUUUGGAGUGGAGAUAGCAAAGAUGGCCUGAGAAGAAAAUGCCAUAGAGGGAAGAGUACAAGGUAUGUACCUCGUUUAACAAGUGUUUAAAUUUGUUGGCAUUCUUCGGCACAUGUAUCUAACCAGGGCCGGAGCCAGAUAGAUGUAGGUGGCCCUGACCCUCUCGCACCAUUUGAGCAAGCAUACAUUAUUCCUUGAUUUGCACAAGUUGUUCAUCAUUCAAUGUUACUUUUAUAUUAUAUGUUUUGCCUAUCAGCCCCCCACACAUAAAAUUUUGGUUCCGUCAUUGUAUCUAACUGUUAAAUUAAAAAAUCUAUGUUAUACUUAAAUAUAUUUUAGAAUUUUCACUUUUUUACAUAACUUUGAAAGAAUUUUUAUUCCAUGCAUCAACCUACAUUGCUCUUAAUAUAUUGAGAGUAUGAGUUCCCACAUUGAGAAUAUAAGAGACCUUAUAUGUGUUUAUAAGGAAUUAGGCUACAUUUGAUACUUUCAAGGAAUUUUUUUUGAAAUGUCAUAUGAACUUGUUCAUAUUUUCAAUUUGUUAUAUAAACUAAAUUUUAAGCAAUUUGUUAUACCAGCUUUACAAAAUCAUUAAUUUGUCAUCUCACCCCAACUCCCGUUAAGUUUUCCAUCCAAUAUAAGUCAAGUGCCUCACACAAGACUUUUGUUCGGGGUUAUUUCGGUCAUUUUAACAUCUUUUCACAAGUAUUUUACUUUUCUUUAGUACAAGCACUUAAAUUUUUUACUUUUCUUUAGCACAUAUGCAUCUACAACCCCAUUUAUGGCACAAAACGUCAACAUGUUUCUCAUUUAUAGAGCCCGUAUGAAAUUAUUUCUUAGUGACAUGCUAAAAUGCAAACUCCCACUUGUGUAUCAUUACAUAUUUGGAAUAACCAGAAGAUAGUACAUUGCGUGAUCAUUCAUUGCUAUCAUAUAAAUUUAAACACUUGUGUAUCAUUACAUAUUUAGAAUAACCAGAAGAUGUCAUUUUUUUAUAAGGAAACAUCAACGGUAUGAGAUAAUUCUUUUUACCUGAUUAUGUCAUAUUCUCAAAGGGUGCGGAGAAAGAAAUUGUUUGAUUAUGUCAUGAAUUCCCCAAUUCGGAUACUUAAUAUCUUCGUGGUAUUUAUGUAAAGAAACAAAUAAUGUUUGCAUACAUGAAGAAUAGUAAGGGUUGGUUUGGUAUUGUUAUGCUUUGAAAAAAAAACUUUUUCUGCUGUAAUGUAAAAAUAAGCUCACUUUUGUUACUUUACGUUUUCAGCUUUUUUUUUCACUCAAAACUGUGAAAAUAAGGUGUUUAUAAGUGUUUACCAAACACAUUUUUGAGCUUAGCUUUUUUUUAUACCCACUUUUUAUAAAAACAUCUCAGUACCAAACCAGUACUAAGAGAGAUUGUUGAGAGAAAGAGGAAGCUUGAAGAGGAAGAAAAGGUUAUAUAUAUUUUCAGUAGUGAAUUACAAAGAGUACAUUUGGUUAUAUAUCUGUUGUUUUAGUAACUAAGUCAACUCAACAACCGUAUAACAAUCUUAACAGCCUUAUAAUAGAUUCCCUAAUCUACUGACACAUGGCACUUUAUACAUCCAUUGAUCCUAUAUUGUUAUCAUCCCUCAUCAAGCUCAGGAAAGGAAGCACCAAGCCUGAGAUUGCAGCAAUGUGUAUGAAAAAAUGGUGUACACGAUUCUUUUGUCAAGAUAUCAUCAAACUGUUCAUUUGAUGAGACAAAUUGCAUACAUAAAAGUUGUUUAGUAACCCUUUACCUGACAAAGUGAACAUCAAUCUCUAUAUGCUUUGUCCUUUGAUGCAUGACUGGAUUACAUGUAAGAGCGAUGCCAUACAAGUUAUCACAGAACAAUGUAGAAGGAAUAGGCACUGGAAUCUGCAGAAAAACAAGUAAUUGUCUAAUCCAAUCAAUAUCAGUUGUUGUGGAGGCAAUGUAACAACCUGUCCCAUAAUUUACGGAACGAAUGGGCAUUUUUAUAAUGUCACUAAGUUUGGGAUAUUUAUUUUAAAAAUUGUUUUGGGUCUUAAUGUGUGUGCCUGUGGGGCCCACUUGUUUUGGUUUUGUUCUCCGUAGCCUUAGUCCAUCUCUCUCCUUUUUUUCUCCCUCAUCCCAUGUGAACUCAUCUCCCUCACCUCUGCCGGUUUUCCUUUACCUCUCUCAUUCUCGGUGCUCAUCUUCGACAGGAUCACACAUUACAUACACACGACAACCCCGAGGACUUCACCAGCACCCCUAACAUCUAGACCUCCUCCUUUCUCUCUCUCUUUCCCUUCGAUACAUCUCGGCACUAUACAGUCACAGUGCUUGUGACUCCGGCGAGUUUUCAAAUAUUCCGACUAAGGUAAGCACCAUAGACCUCUAUAGAUUAUGUUUUCAAGUAGAUUAAAAUGUUUUGAGACAUUUUGGGGUGGUAUAAAUGUAGAGAUAACUCGGGGGAUUAUAUUUCCAGUUUUCCAGCAAGGUUCUGUGGCUUGCAGGCCAUUUCCCGGCCGAUCCUGAUGUCAACUUCAUUCCAUUUUGGUACAACUCGAAUCCUUAUUCUCUUACCUUUGAUUUGGCCUUUUAAUGGUAGUUUUUGGUUAAGGUUUAACCCCGGAUCGAAGCCAGGGAAGUUUUCUCAGCGAAAACUCAAGAAAACCAGCGUUCUUCUCCGGUGACUCAAGCGGCUUGCGAGGCCCUUGUGCCAUGGAAACCCCCGGCCCUUUAAGGGUAGCCCAAACCCAAACCCCUUGAGUUGAGGCGCUUGGGCCAUUCAGCUAGGGCCUUCGGCCCAUUAACCUAAAACCCAAAACCCUUUUGGCAACCUAGGCCUUGGGUUGUGUAAGAAUCCCAGGCCCAAACCUCUUAAAGCUCAACCCUUUAAAAGCCUAACCCAAACCUUGGAAAGAAUCGGCCCAACCCAACUGAUGGAAUAUUCCUUUAGGGAAUAUUCCCCUGUUGACUUUUCUGAAAUUUAACCGGGACCCUUUUUAGCGUAAUUCGACGUCCUGAAUUCGUUUUUGAUGUCCAUUUUCCUAAAUUCAAUCAUUUGAAUAGAGUUUUAUUGAUUGGACCCUUUAUGUGCUUAGGUACAAUUAUUAACGGCGAUUCUAUCCAGCUUACUUCAUGCAGCUCUUCGACAACGGAGUAUCUGUGAAUGGACCCCUUCUAAAAUGCAUGUUUUAAUAGUAGAAAUGCAUACAUGAAAAGCAUGAUUUAAUAAUUACGUUUUAUGAAACGUUUUAUGAGAUAUUAUGCUUACUACGAAUAUUUUGAAUUAUCAUAUUUUAUCGAACUCAUGUUCUUUGUAGUAUAGAUGAUAGAUGACUUUAUACUGCUUAUGAACAUGCUUUUGCACACUUCUUUAUAGUAUAGAUGAUGGAUGACUUUAUACUAUGAAGAUGUUUUUGAGAUAUAUAUACCUAUGUUUGGAAAGUUUAUGUACAAUGGUUUUGUGCUUAUCUAGUGGUCACUAUACCGCCACAGGCAAGGAUUAUGGUUGUUGGCUGCGGGUCGAGAGAAAUAAUCUCUGGCUUCAGGCCGAGAGACAUGGAGCUGGCAUUGGGCCAAGAGAAAUAAUAUCUGGCUAUGAGCAUAGAGACAUAAAAGUUGGCAUUGGGCUAAGAGAUAUUAUUAUUGGAUACCACUAUUUAUCACACUAUAUACGAGAUAUGUUUUAUAAAAGAUUUUAUGGCAUGCUAGGGUUUUCGGAAAACCUAUUACAUAUUAUACUAUUGAGUUUUCAUAAAACUUUGGGGGUUAAUACGUUGAAUAACUGUUUCAAUAUUAUAUAUAUAUAUAUAUCAACUUGGUCCACUCAUGUUGUAUUACGCCCCCUCAGAACUUAGAUUCGAGGUGUACAAUCCUAGCGUCAGGGCACUCCCGCAUCAGCAUCUUCGAGUCCUCUCAGUGUAUGACUCACCUCUUGGUUCAUUCAAUUUCAUAUUAUUCCUUGUUAGUGUUUAGGAUUAGUUGUAUGCUCUGAACACAUUCCUCAUUUGCAUAAUCAUUGUAUUUAAAUUCAUAACUUUUAUUUACAUUCGAUGUUCUCAUGCAUCCUAAUAUGGCCUCAUCACCUUCGGGUGUUGGCCAGUACGUGCCUACCCUGGUCUUCAAGGAAUAUUGGGGUCGGGCGUGUCAAGCAAUGACUUUAUAUUCAGUCUCAAUAAAGAAUUGAGAAAUUGUGUUCUGUUUAUUGGAAGACCAAGAGAUAGUAGGAUUAUACCCCAAGAAAACUACAAGUCCAGUUGUUGACGUUCUGUCAUUAGGGUAUCUAGCCCAAUCAACAUCACUAAAUCCAUGUAAAUCUAAGACACCUUUAACAAAUUGAAUACCAUUGUUCUGUGUACCCUACAAAUACCUAAGUAUCCUUUUUACAGCGAGAAAGUGAGACUCCAUUGGACAAUGCAUGAACUGACAGACUAGAUGCAUUGAGAAUGCAAUAUUUGUUCUAGUAAAGGUAAGGUACUGAAGUGCCCCUACAAUACUUCUGUAUAAUUCAAGAUUGUUCCCAUCAUCUUUGAGCAAUAUGUUAUAUGACACAUUUCUGUUUUUGUAAGUAAAUCAGACACGAUCUUAGCUUGAGAAAGAAACAACCCCUCUUAAUUCUAAGUAAUCUAAAUGCCAAGAAAGUGUCCCCAAGUCUUUAAUAUCAAAUUCCUUAGUCAAGGCAGCAAUGACCAGGUUGCUAAGACUGUUAUAAGUUGUUGAGUAACAGAAAUAUCUUCAAUUGUUUUUUGUAAUGACCACACAACGAUUUUGCAUUGUAGGUAAAAAGCUCAAUUCAAUAAAUCAAAUAUUGUAACCAAUCACGUGACAUGACAAACAAUUAAUAUAUAGUUUGACUAAUUUAUAAUCACAUGACAUCUAAAAUUAUGCAUUAGUUUUAGAGAAAUUCCUCCAUAAAACUACUAAAUGUUGGGGCCACAUAUUUCCCCCAAAUUCAUGUGGACAAGCUAUUCAUGAUCCAGCUGGUUGAUGAAGUUGAGAGUAUGAACUUUAUACCGAAAAACUAAAGUCUCACUUCUUGGAUAUUUUUAUUCAUUGUUAAUCAAUUUUUAGUUGGAUGGCCACAUAAUAGUUUAGUUUGUAACAACUUAGCAAAUCUCGGCCCUUCAACAACUAGGAUAUUUUUUUCUUUCAGAAAAUAAAACAACUGAAGAGCAUCAAAUUAAUCUCUUCAUUUUGCAUUCUCCCUUCCGGUAGCGAUUCACAUGCCUUGCACUUAUGUUCUAGUUGUUUAUUCCUUGCUCAGUAGGAUAUUAAUGUAUUAUAAACUAGCUAGGGUAAUUCUAUUUGUACCCAUUGCACGUAAGAAAUCGAAAUCAAACCAACUUCAUGCAUGAAGCAUCGAUUUCAUGUACUCGUCAAGAGAUGGAAGGCACUGGUUGUCGUCGUAGCUGUACAUCAAUGGCACCAUUCUUGCGAGAUUUAGGGAAGCCUUUGUGAAUGCCGCGGGAAGUGGAUUAGGAGACACCAAUUCUUUGUUCAGCUUCUUCCAUUCUUCUGAAAUCAUAUUUGUAACAUGUUCUUGUGCUUCCUCCAUGGUCUUGCCUUGAUGUUCAUUUAAAUACAACUUUACAUAUGACCCGUCGUCCCCAUCUUGAUUCUCAUCCUACAAUCAGUACGACGAUAAGAAAAUCUGACGUGCUCUAUGUGCGUAUAUAUACAUGCAUGCUACAAAUUUUGAUGGACAAAUAUAUAUAUAGCUUUUCUGUGAUGGAGUCGGCCAAGACAUCGACCACACAUGAUAUAGAACCUCAUAAGCAGGGAUGAAUAGGCAUUUAGUUAGUAGGGUGCUUGAUAUAAAUGAUACUAUAAAUAUGUAGUUACCUUGGCACUUCCCAAGUCGUCCCAAAGCCGAAGAAUUGCUGCCGUUGAAGAUAUAAUGGCUGGAGUGCCAUUCAAGAACUCCACACUUUGAUUGGUUAUACCUUCACCCAACAGAAAGAAAAUGUGGACCAUCACCACAUUCACCCCAGAAGAAAUAAUUCCAUUCUUCAAGUACUCUUCAGCCCUAGGCAAGUGCCCAGAUUUGAACCAUUUUGCUUCCACUAAAAAUGCAUUGCACAGACUAGCCCACUGCACGCAAACAAAUAGAAUGAAUUAAGCUAUAAUUAAGCCUUUCUUAAUAUGCUAGUAUAUAAUUGUCACGACAUUAAUCCAGUUAGAUAGAUAUACUUAAUAAUAAGGCAAUACUACAGUUUACAUAUAUAUAUAUACCGUCUUCUUUAGCGAAUGCAACGAGUUCCAUCCGUGCCUUUGAUAGAUCUUACAGCUGAUUUCAUUCGUCAUAUCGUAAAGAGCCUUGAAGCAUAUCUUCAUGUAGUCCGGUAAGUGCUCUAUAGAACCAAUUUCCCAUCUGUAGCAUAACAAUGUUCUUGUCAGUUCACUGUGAAAAGUAGUGAAAUUAAUUAAGAAGUUACGGGAUGUUUUAAUUAUUGCUACCUAUUGACAACCUCCGUGAAAAGAGUGAGUUCAUCAAGCGUCCCGUAAACGUCAAAAAUGUCAUCAAUCAAAUAGAUAAAUGAGAUAGGUUUUGUGAGCUCAAUCCUCUCAUCUGACAAGUUUGGAUUUGUUAGGCAAGCCAUGGACCAAAUGUACCAUUUAAUAGGUUGGUCUCUUGCAAACUUCAACUCCUUACACAAUCCCAGCUCUUUCCACCAUCUAAUUAAGUUAAUUGAAACAAAUAAACAUUGAUUAGCAACUGGUUAAUUUAUUAAAUAUAGAGACAACAAUUGAAGAUUAAGGUGCUAUUUUCCAAUAAAGUUACUUACUUGGAAACUUGAGCAACUUCUUUCUGGUGAAGGGACUGGACCAUAUUUAAAUCUGUUUUUGCUACAGUUUGUAAUAUAUUUAGCCAUCUAUUAUUUGUUCCUUGGAAGCUAGAGAGACAAAAAAGUUCUUGGCCAUGAAUGGGGCCAAGCUUUUGUGAUGAGGAUUUCUCAAUGUGUUUCCAACAACUCUGGCCUGGUGAUGAUCGAGAUGUGACAGUGAUGAAUUUAGGAAAUGGCCACUAAACUUUCCAGCUUCUUCAAGUACAACUUCACCCUCUAUACUUAGCUGUGAAGCUUCAUACAAACUCAUCAACCCCUUGAUGUCUUCCCUUAACAUUUGAUUGAAAUUUCCUUCUCUGUUCUUGAAGUUGUUAAACACAUCUAUAUUCACACGAUAAACACACUAGUUAUCAAAAUAUCGAAAUUGUAUUGAGUCAAUUUACUGGUACCGAAUACCAAUCUAUAUUACUGAAUUAUAGUUAACACUCACCAUCAGAGACGAAGUAACCAUGCUGCCUGAGUAGUCGAAAGCGGAGAGCGACUUCAUGUAGGUCGGUGGGAUGGUGAGCACCAUGAGCAGUAGUACUAGAUAUUAUAUGUUGCUUUUGGAGAAUUUGGUCAAUUUCUUCUUCAAAGUGGUAGUCUAGACCUAGCCGUUGAACCGCAUCGAUCAUGUCCAAACUUUCAACUGCUUCUCCUCCCACUUUUAUCAAUGCAUGCCUUAAGUCGUCCAGUUUUUGUUCAUUCUGGAAACAAAUUAUGCCAUCCUGCGGACAAGGAAUUGAAGAGAGUCGAUUUUCAACCAUGUAUGUACAUGUGUGUGUGUGUGAGAGAGAGAGAGAGAGAGAGAGAGAGAGAGAGAGAGAGAGAGAGAGAGAGAGAGAGAGAUGAUUUUUCUUACCUUAGAUGAAGUAUACUUCGUUUUGGAGUUAAGCGGUUUUAAGGGAGUAGAAAGCAAACUGUUAUCUUCGGGGAUGCUCCAUUUUUGAGAACUAAGGUAUUCCGGAGCAGCUGGAGUAGAAGACGAGGUCGCAAAGGAGGACUGGGAAAUAGAAAAUUCCAUAUUUCUGUAUGUGUAAUCAACUCCCAGAGUAGUAGAAGGCGAAUAGAGAAAAUAAGAUGUUUUUCGCUCUUCUUGAUCUCUCAAUUUAUAAUCGCCAUGAAAAUCGAUUUUCGCUAUACUUCGAGAGCUAGCACACUAAUUUGCACGUUGAUUUAGAGUUUUUUUAUUCGCGCUUUUGUUUUUUUUUUGUUUUUUUUUUUUUGUUGAAAAAUCAAACGUACUAGUAAGGGUCCAAGAAAGAAUAAAAAGUGUACCAAACGUGAAAGUUGUGCUAUUCGGCAACUGGAAAGCGGAUUCCUAUUAUUAUGAAACAACUUUUGAUUCCUUAAUACCUAGGUACUUGUCACUAGUGAAUAUUUUAUGUACUCAUUGUAUUUAUUUGGCUUAAUAAAAAAAUAUCGCGUGGGUUUUGUUUUUCAAAAUAAAAUAAAAAUAAUAAUGAACAUGUCAUUAUUUUUUAAUCACUAAAACAGUAUACCCAAGUAUUAUCCAAGCAUGUCUCAAACCCUAUAAGGGCAUCAAUAUUGAUGGAAGCCUUCAAACACAUUUUCCCAUUAUUAGUGACCACAAAUAAAUAAAUGAAUAAUGCUCAGAUCUAGAACCUUUUGGUUCGGCAAACUUGUGCGGAUAUCAACUCUAUCUAUCUUUUCUCUAUGUUUUCAGGUAAAAAAUUUCGAACAAACCAGAAAGCCUUAAUGUCCUUGUGCAACAUUGCGUAGUUUAUUAUAGGGGUAUGAUAUUCACACACCCCAUUUUACUUCUCACAUAUCUUUUUAAUUUUCGGUCGUCGAAUCGGAUGAAUUGAAGAAGAUCAAUAGACAGAAAUUAUCAAGAGGUGUGUGAGAAGUAAAAUAAGGUGUGUGGAUAGCACAUUCCUUAUUAUAUAAUAUAUACUAUUUAGGGAACUCUUUUGGUUGAAUAUAAUUUAGUGAGUUCGACGGAAGCAAGUCAACAACACCUAAUUAUGACCAAACUAUUGUUUAUGACAUUUUUUUGUCACGUGUCAAUUGUCCUCUUGUAAAAAGAGUCUUGAAAGCAUUUUAUAUUUUGCCAAACAAAAAGAUUCAACAAAUAUUAGAUGGCAAGUGAAGUAAUUUUUGUAUACCAUUUUUCUCAUACAUUCUUUAUUUCAGUUUCUUAAAAUAUACAGUGUCUCGUGUUUCAUAUGAGUUCACAUUUGUGUGUGAGACAUUACAUUUUUUUUUCUUUCAUACUUUGUUUUAGUUUUUUAAAACAUACAGUGUCUUGUGUUUCAUAUGAGUUUACAUUUGUGUGUGAGACAUUACAUAUUUUUUAGACGACAUGUUACAUGUGCGAUAUAAUUGAUGUGUCGUGAAUUCAAGGAUAAUUUUUAAUAGAAAUAUUAGGAAAAUCCAAUUUUAGUUUACCACAUUGUCCCACGUCUCUUCAAUAAAAGUGUGAUCUCGUGGUGUACCCUAGCAUAAAUAUUUUCUUUUGGAACAAACGAUAUUGACUACAUUAAGGGGGAGAGGGGGGAGGUGGGCUUAGCCUCACAAUGGACUAGCAAUAAUGUGGUUCAAAUUCUCUUUUGGUGAGAAUCGAACCUAAAAUCUCUCAUUUACAAGUGAAGAGAAAAAUCACUAAAUUGCAGUAUUAAUUGGUUUCCUAGCAUAAAUUGUUAAGCAUUAAUGUAAUGCACAUAAAUAUGGUAUCUCUAGCAUCACUCGAUCUCAUUUUUUAUCCACCAGUCGUAAUAGUAAAUGACAUGAUAUAACUUGUAUAACCCAUAUCCAAUUGUGACCGUGGAUAAUACAAGUUUGGUUGAUAAUACUGAAAUCAAGGUUUUUUUUCCCCAAUGAUUAGGUUAAUAAUGUUGAACAAUGUAAAAAGUCUCAUUUCGAAAACUUGAUAAUUAAAUACAACUUGCAUUGAGGUCUUCAUUGAUAAAAAUUUAGACUUACUAGAUUGCAUAAUAGUUAAGUGAAGAUGUGAAAUCCUGUCCCCAUAUUUCACUAUUUAAAAUUACGUAUUUUGUAUUCUUAGUUUUGACGCGUUUAUAAUUAUGGCAUGUAGUUUUUUUUUUUCAAUAAGUAAAAGGACAAAAAUGCCCUUAAUGAACUAAACGUACCAAUCAAGAUGAGAAUAAAUGAGGGAAAUGAGGGAAAAAAGAAGGAGGGAACCCAGACCCCCUUUCGACCCGCGACCCAACUAUUGACUGCCAACAUGCAAUCCGAUGCCUUCUCCGGCCAUUUUCUGGUGAAUUGCGAUGAGGCAACACUUGAGAACCCAUCCAUGAUCUCUUCUUUUCCAUUUUCACUUGAAAUUGAAGGAAUUUGGCUUCGGUUUCUUCUAAAACAUGCCGACAGGCUCCGUGGGGUGCAUAACAACAAUCUGCCUUUCCUGCAUGAAUCACUGUCAAACACCACCAUCAAUCAACUCCUCUUGGGCCCAGGAACAAACCCCAAAAAAGUUUGGCGGCGGUGGAGCACUGGAGAAGACAAAUCGAAGUGCACCCAUUUCAGGGGUUUCAGGCGGAUAGAGGCGAUUUCAAGCAUCUUCCCGGCCUAAUUGGACUUCAGCCCAGGUAUGAAAAAUGUUUCCCUCAUUGAGCUCUACAUGUUUGUAAAAUUUGGUAAUUUUUGAAGUUAGGUGAAUUUUCCUGCGAGUCAGGGCGGUGGCAUGUGACCUAAGGACCCAUUUGACCCUUUUAAGCUAAAUUUGAUACACCGAUUCCAUAUGUGACAUCUGAUGGACGAAAUUCCAUCGUUCGAACAUAGUUUCGUUAGGGUCCGCCUCUUGAUCAUUAUAACCAUCGAUGAUCCAACCGUUGGAUUGUCACCAAACCUUAAUAUAUUAUAACACGUAAUAUUUAAGGACAUUAGAAACUGACAGAUCAGGAAUCCGACAUACGGAUCUUGAUGAAUUGAAUUUUUAAGUUUGUAAAACUUGUUUGUACCAUACUUAGGGCCUCCGUAUUUAGACCUCGUAUAAAUACUCGGGGGACUCAAAUAUAAUUAUGUAAUAAAUGGAGGGGCAAAUAUGUAAUAAGUGAAGAGCCCUUAUUCUAUAAAAG